rnacentral:lncRNA from 1 species
UUGGCAAAUAAACUCCAAGAAGUUGAUCAAAGUAGUUCCACACCACUUCAUUUUAUUUAUUUCUGGUCCAAAACAAUACUGUCAUCAACCUGAAGUGAAGGGAUCCAAAUUUUCGUUAUUCUCACAAUAGCCUUUAAGUGAAAAAAACUGGUGUUGCAAUCACCUUCUUUGAGCGGAAGAAAGCGAGAGCGCUGCUGCCAAAUACAUCUUUGCAGGGAACCAAGACACUCAUCAUUUUCAAAUUUCCCCUGAAGGUGUGCGCUUCCCACGUCAAACUUCUAUGGUUUCUAUUAAUGUCAAGCUGUAGGAUGAUCUCAUGCACGGUGAGAGUUUUCAAUCUGAUAUCAGUCAAAAAAUUAUCUGACCAGGCCUUCUAUUUCUCCAACGUAAGCAUCUCUGCGGCUUGAACUUGGAGUCAGGAGUUAGGAGAAAAUGACAGUGGUCGAAUUCAGUAGAGGAGAGGGCCCGCAACAUGGCAUUGGGUUCAGCCUCACACCACGAUUGGUUAUAUAGGACUCGGUCAAGCCUGACAAGAAUUGUGUUGAAUUGUUCAUUGCUCCAUUUGUAUCAGACCCUUGUCGAAAUUACCAUUGUUCUUAUCCUCAGCUGCAGCAAUCAUAUUAAAAUCGCUAAGAACAAGCAACAUAUAUCCAAUUGGUCAAUAAUUUACCACAAUACAAAGCUAGAAACAGGAAUAUAAUUUCGUGUCCUUCAUCAACCCGGAUUAAAACAAGAAAAUAUGAUUUGGGAUUAUAUGAGAACAACUCUAAUAAAUUCAGAAUACAGCUAUAUGCAGCAUCGGUUGUGGCUACAGGACAACAUUUGGUUUUACCGUUCUAUUAUAAAACAAAGAGAAGCCAAGCAAGUUGUAACUCACAUGUCGUCGUUGUGCUCGAUUGCAGUUUCUCACUUGUACAUUCAGUUAAGUGACUCGGAUCGUUCUGGGGAAGCAGCGUCAUUUCUUCUAGCUAGUUCACACAUCAUCCUCUUGCUAUCUUACAGUCUUGCGAUACUGGCAGCAUCCAUGACGAAUCCACACACCAGGAAUCUUGGGCAGUUGGAGCUGCAUCCACGCGCCACCAAGGUGACUCAAAUCGGUAAUGGCACUAACCACAAACAUUAGACUAACAUUACAGCGAGGAAGGGAAAAGACAAAGAAAAUUGCAAGUUGCUACAAUUGUGAAAUCCACUCCUAGUCACUUGGUCAUUUUGUCAAAUACCUUAUGUGCACUGCUUGAAACAUCACCAUAAAGAGGGGAGCAAUGCAAGGAGACGGACCAGGGCAUCGACAGACGGGGGUAUCCAUGACCAGAAGAUAAGAGGGUACAUGCGUGUGUGUUUCACGUGGUCGUGGAGGUCAAGUCGUCCUCAUGGGGCACUCUCUGAUGCCGCCAUAGCCCAACCUCGCAGAGUGCCACAGCACCGGUAACAUGAGGAGAGAGACCACACAGAGCGAGCAGACGACACGACCGCACUCAGGCAAGGUCCACACACAUGCCCAAACAUCAGCAACACGUUGAACGCCCUAUGGCAGUGGAAGGAUCCUCGAAGGAUCCAUGCGGUGAGGUCGAUGGAUCCGGCGUCCGGGGCCAUCAGCGCCGCUCCUUCACUUCCUCAGUGUGACUCGCCCUCCCCGUCACUCCUCCUCGAGACCCCGGUCCGACAGUCCCUUCAGUCAGAGAUUGAGGUAUUACAUGACGACACGCGCGAGAGAUCAAAUGGGUAAUCCAACUUAGACACGGGGAGGUCAGAGAUUGAGAAGCUUACGACGGUGGAGGCCGGAGAGGACUCGUGCUUGCGGAUAGGUGACGGUGCUCAUGGCCAGCGAAUGCGGCCGGCGACGAACAGGUAAUGGUGGCGCGUGCUCACGAUGGCGAACGCGGCUAGCGACGGCGAACUUGGACCACGCGGGCAGGGCCUGCUUGAGGGGCUUCAGGAGCACGGGGAUGAGCACCUUCACGCGGCCGCAUUCCCGUCCGGGCUAGUGCCGACAGCGUAGCACGGGCGCGCGUUGCCCCUGCUCCACCUCGUCCCACAAACAUGCCCCGCCGGCCACCGGAGCACCGGCUCCCUUCUGCCUCGACCCCGCCAGCGGAGCGCCAGCCGCCAACGACCUGUGCCCACCCCUCCAAGGCCUCGUCCCCGGCCUGCCCGAGUCUUCCCUUGCUUCACCUCGCCGUGUGGUCACCUUUCCCCUGCUCCAGCUCGCCGUGCGGACAGAUCUGAGCUGCCGGCCAUGGACGUGUGUGGAUAAGAAGACACUGACCACAUGGAGGGAUUGAUUUGCAAAACCGAAACGUUUUUUUUCCAGUCAGAUCCACUUACACAGGGACUGCGGGUUGACUACAUAAAACAACAAAGACGUUUUUGUAAAAAUACCGUAACGGACGACAGAAGCACUCCGUGCUUUAUUAUUAGGGAGAGAUUUCCAGUGGAUGAGGUAGGAUCACUGGAUGAAAGGGAUGCCGGUUGUGGGGCGGCAUAAAAAAGUUCGUUCUAUACGGCCGCGCGUUGGGUCGUGUCAUCUGUCUGUUUUGAUUCAAAUGGAUACAUGCGGACAUGAUGGAGUCGUGCAUUGGAGUUGGUCUAAGAGCAAGUCUAGUAGAACCCUCAAACCCUCAAACCCUUAAAAAUAACCACUUUUUUACAGUUUUCGUCGACAAAACGACGUAGACUAGAACCCUUAAACCCUUAAACCCAUAAAAAAAAUUUAAAGGUCCAACCCGCAAACGCCAUCGCAGCCUGUAGAAGUGAGGGUUGGCUUCCUCUCCAGCGCGGGAGGGAAGUUUCAGCUCCCUCCCCUCGAUCCGCCGCCGCCGCCGCUCCGCUCCGGCCGCCCCGGCCGCCCAUCCCCGCCCCGCCCCGGCCGCCCUCCGCAGCCGCUGCCCCACCCCGGCGGUCCCUCCGCCGCCGCUGCCCCGGCUGCCCCGUCCGCAGCGCCGCCCCGUCCCCGCCGGCCCUCCGCAGCGCCGCCGCCCCGGCCGGCCCUCCGCAGCGUCGCCCCGUCCCGGCCGCCCCUCCCAGUGCCGCCGCCCCGGCCGGCCCUCCGCAGCACCGAAGAUUGAGGUUUACAUUUUUGCUUUUUUGUUUCAUUUUUACAUUUUUGCUUCAUUGGCACUCACAAUUUUUGCCACUCACAUUGUAGAUGGACUCGUUGUCCGAUGCGUCGGAUUGGUCGUCAUCCGAUGAUUCAGACAUUGACGAGUUGUUGCAAGACGACGACGUUGAGAUGAUGAGCCUCCUCGUCGACGUGCAAGCGUUUGAAGACCGCUUGAAGCUUAUGGAUCAGAGGAGAGGGUCGACGAUGGGGCGACUCACCAUCUACCGGAACCGUGCUCUCGGACACGAGCAUUUGAUGCAAGACUACUUCGCGGACGUACCUACAUACCCUCCUCGUCUCUUUCGCAGAAGGUACCGAAUGCAUCGUAGUUUGUUUGUGAAGAUUGUCAACGAUUGUGAGGCUGCCUCCUAUUACUUUAAAUGUCGUAGAUCCGCCGCCGGUAUCAUGGGGUUUAGUGCAUAUCAAAAGAUAUCGGCGGCAAUGCGGGUACUCGCUUAUGGCAUACCCGCGGAUUAUACCGACGAGUAUCUUCGCAUUGGGGAAGAUACAACCACGGAGUCCGUCCGUAGGUUUGCCAAGUUGGUCAUCCGGUUGUAUGGUGAGAAGUAUCUUCGGGCACCAAACGGGAUGGUCUAGUAGAGCACCACUGGCAGUUGGAUGGGCGGCGUAUUGGCCCAUGAUGUAUCUUUGUUUUACUUUUCUAUGUCCUAUUUGAUUCGAACAAUUGUUGUAAUUUGCUGAAACAUUGUUUUAUGUUGUAAUUUGCUCAAACAUUUUUGUAAUAAUUUGAAUGAUUAUUGUUUUAUUCGGUGCUGUAAUAAUAACCAGAAUGAUUAUUGUUUUAUGUCAAAUGUGAUUGAAUUUGUGAUAUGUCAUAUGAUGAAAUGUGAUGAAAUGUGUGAUAUAUGAAAUGACAGUUUUAAGGUUUGGGGUUGGGGCAAAGACUAGAACCCUCAAACCCAACCCUUAUAACGGAAUAUUCCGUUAUAAGGGUUGGGUUUGAGGGUUCUAGUCUUUGCCCUGUUUUUCAACCCUUAAAAGUGUCAAAAAUAUGCAAUUCUCAACCCUUAAAACUGGUUUUUGUUUUAAGGGUUUGAGGGUUCUACUAGAGAUGCUCUAAGAGCAUACAAAUGAUUCCUUAUACACCUGUGGAUACGUUCGAUCAGUGACCGGACAAAAGAAAGAAGAAAAAAAAUGACCCAACCGAACGUCUCAUAUCGUCCCUAUAUGUUCGGGUUGUCCGCGAACCCUCAUAUCCAUCUUCAAUAUGAGGAGGAUAUGAGGGCUCACGCACGUGCUCGGGAUCGUCCCGUCAGUCCGCCACAUAGGACGCGACCCCACCCCGGACCACUUUUUUUUCUUUUUCUUUCUUCCUUUCCAUCAAUCACGUGCAAGUGACCGGACGUAUAAGAGAAAAAAAAUGAGAAAAGUGUGGUUGUACGGACACACAGAUAGGGGACACGCCCGAUCACUGAUCGAACGCGUCCGCGGGCAUUUAAAGGGUCAUAUUUGCAAUGUCCCGUUGUAGAUGCUCUAAAAUCUGACUUUUGAUUUUAAACAUGGUAAACCAAACAAUUUAAAAUAAAUUACUAGCAAAAGAGUUUGUGCGUUGUUGCGAAGAGAAAAGGAAGAUUCAUGUCCUUUCUCAAUGGGGCAUUCGACCAAUCAAAGAGGAGAAAAGAAUAAGAAGAAGGGGAUCCGCAUUGCUCCCGACAAGAGCGAUGAAGCGACAACACUGUCCUCGUCAUCUUUUCGGACAUGGACUCGGCCCCACCUUCACACCGAGCGUCGCCUCCCAAGGUGUUCUCUGCAACGAUCGUCGUCCGCUCAUCCUCCCCGCCUCUCUACAUCACGUGCCCCAUGACCCGCCCUUCCACCGAUGCCGAGGGGGUCAGCCUGCUCGCGCCACAUCACCUAGCGGUUGACGACAAUGACGGUGCCCCCGACGCUUCUCCAACACCCUCAAACAUGCUGCUUUCAUCUGCGUUACUACUUCAUCAACCCUGAACAUCUAUGCAUCCUCCCUCUCCUUCUCGACUCGGCCAUCCUCAUCCGGUAUGGUCCCAGCUAAUCUUUUUUCUUCCCUGGCUUCUGCCUCUCGUAGUCCUCCCAUCCUAACCCUGCACAACAACACAACAGAACAUGCAUGACCUGCCCUCCACGAGUAUGUGCUCUGCAAGCUGCGCCACUCAGCCAAGCGCUCGGCUGACAAAACCGAGAACAUAUGCUGGAGCUCGCGUCUGGCCGCAAAAGAACCAAAAAGUUCAUCGACAUGACUACCAAGGUUGUUCACGCAAACGCGACGCACCUCACCGUCGCAGAUGUGGCCAAGGCUCUCAAGGAGGCCAUCCACGACGCCCAGCUUGAUGUUCAGGAGGCGCCGCCAGCUGAUACGUCCAUUUUGCAUCAUGUUUUUAUGUUGAUAUUUAUCACUUUAUGGACUGUUAUUACACUUCACGGUACAAUACUUAUCCCUUUUCUCUCUUAUUUUACAAGGUUUACAUGAAGAGGGAGAAUGCCGGCAACUGGAAUUUUGGCCUGAAAAAGGAGCAAGUUUGAGAUACCUAUUCUGAGAGGGGUUAAUCAUGUUGGAAUUAUGCCCUAGAGGCAAUAAUAAAUGUAUAGUUUUUAUUAUAAUUCCUGUAUCAAUAUAAUAGUUUAUUAUCCAUGCUAUAAUUGUAUUGAAUGAAGACUCAUUUACAUGUGUGGAUACAUAGACAAAACACCGUCCCUAGCAUGCCUCUAGUUGGCUAGCCAGUUGAUCAAUGAUAGUCAGUGUCUUCUGAUUAUGAACAAGGUGUUGUUGCUUGAUAACUGGAUCACGUCAUUGGGAGAAUCACGUGAUGGACUAGACCCAAACUAAUAGACGUAGCAUGUUGAUCGUGUCAUUUUGUUGCUACUGUUUUCUACGUGUCAAGUAUUUAUUCCUAUGACCAUGAGAUCAUAUAACUCACUGACACCGGAGGAAUGCUUUGUGUGUAUCAAACGUCGCAACGUAACUGGGUGACUAUAAAGGUGCUCUACAGGUAUCUCCGAAGGUGUUAGUUGAGUUAGUAUGGAUCAAGACUGGGAUUUGUCACUCCGUGUGACGGAGAGGUAUCUCGGGGCCCACUCGGUAAUACAACAUCACACACAAGCCUUGCAAGCAAUGUAACUUAGUGUAAGUUGCGGGUCUUGUAUUACGGAACGAGUAAAGAGACUUGCCGGUAAAACGAGAUUGAAAUAGGUAUGCGGAUACUGACGAUCGAAUCUCGGGCAAGUAACAUACCGAAGGACAAAGGGAAUGACAUACGGGAUUAUACGAAUCCUUGGCACUGAGGUUCAAACGAUAAGAUCUUCGUAGAAUAUGUAGGAUCCAAUAUGGGCAUCCAGGUCCCGCUAUUGGAUAUUGACCGAGGAGUCUCUCGGGUCAUGUCUACAUAGUUCUCGAACCCGCAGGGUCUGCACACUUAAGGUUCGACGUUAUUUUAUGCGUAUUUGAGUUAUAUGGUUGGUUACCGAAUGUUGUUCGGAGUCCCGGAUGAGAUCACGGACAUCACGAGGGUUUCCAGAAUGGUCCGUAAACGAAGAUUGAUAUAUAGGAUGACCUCAUUUGAUUACCGGAAGGUUUUCGGAGUUACCGGGAAUGUACCGGGAAUGACGAAUGGGUUCCGGGAGUUCACCGGGGGGGGGGGGGGGGGCAACCCACCCCGGGGAAGCCCAUAGGCAUUGGGGGAGCCACACCAGCCCUUAGUGGGCUGGUGGGACAGCCCACAAGUGCCCAAUGCGCCAAGAGAAGAAAAAUCAAGAGGAAAGAAAAAAAAAGGAAGGAGGUGGGAAGGGAGGGGGACUCCUCCCACCAAACCAAGUCCAACUUGGUUUGGGGGGGGAGUCCUCCCCCCUUGGCUCGGCCGACUCCUUGGGGGUCCUUGGACCCCAAGGCAAGGCCCCCCUCCCUCCCACCUAUAUAUACGGAGGUUUUAGGGCUGAUUUGAGACGACUAUCUCAUGGCUGCCCGACCACAUACCUCCACGGUUUUUCCUCUAGAUCGCGUUUCUGCGGAGCUCGGGCGGAGCCCUGCUGAGACAAGGUCAUCACCAACCUCCGGAGCGCCGUCACGCUGCCGGAGAACUCUUCUACCUCUCCGUCUCUCUUGCUGGAUCAAGAAGGCCGAGAUCAUCGUCGAGCUGUACGUGUGCUGAACGCGGAGGUGCCGUCCGUUCGGUACUAGAUCGUGGGACUGAUCGCGGGAUUGUUCGCGGGGCGGAUCGAGGGACGUGAGGACGUUCCACUACAUCAACCGCGUUCUCUAACGCUUCUGCUGUACGAUCUACAAGGGUACGUAGAUCACUCAUCCCCUCUCGUAGAUGGACAUCACCAUGAUAGGUCUUCGUGCGCGUAGGAAAAUUUUUGUUUCCCAUGCGACGUUCCCCAACAGUGGCAUCAUGAGCUAGGUUCAUGCGUAGAUGUCUUCUCGAGUAGAACACAAAAGUUUUUGUGGGCGGUGAUGUGCGUUUUGCUGCCCUCCUUAGUCUUUUCUUGAUUCCGCGGUAUUGUUGGAUUGAAGCGGCUUGGACCGACAUUACUCGUACGCUUACGAGAGACUGGUUUCAUCGUUACGAGUAACCCCCUUUGCUCAAAGAUGACUGGCAAGUGACGGUUUCUCCAACUUUAGUUGAAUCGGAUUUGACCGAGGAGGUCCUUGGAUGAGGUUAAAUAGCAACUUAUAUAUCUCCGUUGUGGUGUUUGCGUAAGUAAGAUGCGAUCCUACUAGAUACCCUUGGUCACCACGUAAAACAUGCAACAACAAAAUUAGAGGACGUCUAACUUGUUUUUGCAGGGUAUGAUUGUGAUGUGAUAUGGCCAAUGAUGUGAUGUGAUAUAUUGGAUGUAUGAGAUGAUCAUGUUGUAAUAGAAAUAUCGACUUGCACGUCGAUGGUACGGCAACCGGCAGGAGCCAUAGGGUUGUCUUUAUACUAACGUUUGUGCUUGCAGAUGCAUUUACUAUUUUGCUAGGAUGUAGCUUUAGUAGUAAUAGCAUAAGUAGCAUGACAACCCCGAUGGCAACACGUUGAUGGAUGAUCAUGGUGUGGCGCCGGUGACAAGAAGAUCGUGCCGGUGCUUUGGUGAUGGAGAUCAAGAAGCACGUAAUGAUGGCCAUAUCAUGUCACUUAUGAAUUGCAUGUGAUGUUAAUCCUUUUAUGCACCUUAUUUUGCUUAGAACGACAGUAGCAUUAUGAGGUGAUCUCUCACUAAAAUUUCAAGACGAAAUUGUGUUCUCCCCGACUGUGCACCGUUGCUACAGUUCGUCGUUUCGAGACACCACGUGAUGAUCGGGUGUGAUAGACUCAACGUUCACAUAAACGGGUGCAAAACAGUUGCGCACGCGGAACACUCGGGUUAAGCUUGACGAGCCUAGCAUGUGCAGACAUGGCCUCGGAACACAUGAGACCGAAAGGUCGAUCAUGAAUCAUAUAGUUGAUAUGAUUAGCAUAGGGAUGCUUACCACUGAAACUAUACUCAACUCACGUGAUGAUCGGACUUGGGAUAGUGUAAGUGGAUCAUGAACCACUCAAAUGACUAGAGAGAUGUAUUUUUUGAGUGGGAGUUUAGCAUAUAAUUUGAUUAAGUUGAACUCUAAUUAUCUUGAACAUAGUCUAAGUCCACUUUGAAUAUAUUUGUGUUGUAGAUCAUGGCUCACGCGAGUGUCAUCCUGAAUUUUAAUACGUUCCUAGAGAAAGCUAAGUUGAAAGAUGAUGGAAGCAACUUUGUAGACUGGGCUCGUAAUCUUAAGCUAAUCUUACAAGCUGGGAAGAAGGAUUAUGUCCUUAAUGCUGCGCUAGGAGAUGAACCACCCGCUACGGCUGAUCAGGAUGUUAAGAACGCUUGGUUAGCGCGUAAGGAGGACUACUCAAUAGUUCAAUGUGCAGUCUUGUAUGGCUUAGAACCGGGACUUCAACGUCGCUUUGAGCGUCAUGGAGCAUUUGAGAUGUUCCAGGAGUUGAAGUUUAUCUUUCAGAAGAAAGCCCGGAUCGAGAGGUAUGAGACCUCCGAUAAAUUCUAUGCUUGCAAGAUGGAGGAAAACUCGUCUGUCAGUGAACAUGUGCUCAAAAUGUCUGGGUACUCAAACCGUCUAGCUGAGCUGGGGAUUGAACUCCCGCAAGAGGCUAUCACUGACAGAAUCCUUCAAUCACUGCCGCCAAGCUAUAAAGGCUUUGUGUUGAACUACAACAUGCAAGGGAUGAACAAGUCUCCCGGCGAGUUGUUUGCGAUGCUGAAAGUCGUAGAGUCUGAACUCCGUAAAGAGCAUCAAGUGUUGAUGGUGAGCAAGACCACUAGUUUCAAGAGAAACGGCAAAGGCAAGAAGGGCAAUUCGAAGAAGAGCGGCAAGCCUGUUGCCAAUCCGCCGAAGAAACCCAAGGCUGGACCUAAGCCUGAAACAGAGUGCUUCUAUUGCAAGGGUAUGGGUCACUGGAAGCGCAAUUACCCCAAGUAUCUGGCAGAUAAGAAGGCGGGCAAAGAAAAAUCAGGUAUAUUUGAUAUACAUGUUAUUGAUGUGUACUUAACCGGCUCUCGUAGUAGUGCCUGGGUACUCGAUAGCGGUUCUGUUGCUCACAUUUGCAACUCGAAACAGGAACUGCGGAAUAGACGAAGGCUGGCGAAAGACGAAGUGACGAUGCGCGUAGGAAAUGGUUCCAAGGUUGAUGCAAUCGCCGUCGGCACAGUGUCACUUCAGCUACCAUCGGGAUUAGUGAUGAACUUAAAUCAUUGUUAUUUAGUGCCUGUGUUGAGCAUGAACAUUAUAUCUGGAUCUUGUUUAUUGCGAGACGGUUACUCUUUUAAGUCUGAGAAUAAUGGUUGUUCUAUUUCUAUGAGUAACAUCUUUUAUGGUCAUGCACCGAAUGUGAGAGGAUUGUUCAUAUUGAAUCUUGAUAGCGAUACACAUAUACAUAACAUUGAGAGCAAAAGAGUUAGAGUAAACAAUGAUAGCGCCAUAUUUUUGUGGCACUGCCGCUUGGGUCAUAUUGGUGUAAAGCGCAUGAAGAAACUCCAUGCUGAUGGACUUUUGGAGUCACUUGACUUUGAUUCACUUGACACGUGCGAACCAUGCCUCAUGGGCAAGAUGACUAAGACUCCGUUCUCCGGAACAAUGGAGCGUGCAAGUGACUUAUUGGAAAUCAUACAUACCGAUGUGUGUGGUCCAAUGAGCGUAGAGGCACGCGGCGGAUAUCGUUAUUUUCUCACCUUCACUGACGAUUUAAGUAGAUAUGGUUAUGUCUACUUGAUGAAGCACAAGUCUGAAACAUUUGAAAAGUUCAAGCAAUUUCAGAGUGAAGUGGAAAAUCAUCGUAACAAGAAGAUCAAGUUCCUACGGUCUGAUCGUGGGGGUGAAUAUCUGAGUUUCGAGUUUGGUGCUCACUUAAGACAAUGUGGAAUUGUUUCGCAGUUAACACCGCCUGGAACACCACAGCGUAAUGGUGUGUCCGAACGUCGUAAUCGUACUUUGUUAGAGAUGGUGCGAUCUAUGAUGUCUCUUACUGAUUUGCCGCUAUCAUUUUGGGGUUAUGCAUUAGAAACAGCUGCAUUCACUUUAAAUAGGGCACCAUCAAAAUCCGUUGAGACGACACCAUACGAACUGUGGUAUGGCAAGAGGCCAAAGUUGUCGUUUCUUAAAGUUUGGGGAUGUGAUGCUUAUGUCAAAAAGCUUCAGCCUGAAAAGAUGGAACCCAAAGCGGAAAGGUGCGUCUUCAUAGGUUACCCAAAAGAGACAGUUGGGUACACCUUCUAUCUCAAAUCCGAGGGCAAAGUGUUUAUUGCUAAAACUGGAGCUUUUCUCGAGAGAGUUUCUCUCGAGAGAAUUGAGUGGGAGGAAGAUAGAACUUGACGAGGUUGUCGAACCUCUCAUCCCUCUGGAUGGUGGCGCAGGGCAAGGGGAAACCUCUGUCGUUGCGACGCCGGUUGAGGAGGAAGUUAAUGAUGAUGAUCAUGAAACUCUAGUUCAAGUUUCUGUUGAACCACGCAGGUCGACCAGAUCACGCGCUGCUCCAGAGUGGUACAGUAAUCCCGUCUUGUCAAUCAUGUUGUUAGAAAACAAUGAACCUGCAAAUUAUGAAGAAGCAAUGGUGGGCCCAGAUUCCAACAAAUGGCUAGAAGCCAUGAAAUCCGAGAUAGGAUCCAUGUAUGAUAACAAAGUGUGGACUUUGGAGAUACUGCCUGAGGGCCGCAAGGCUAUUCAGAACAAAUGGAUCUUUAAGAAGAAGACGGACGCUGACGGUAAUGUGACCGUUUAUAAAGCUUUGACACAGAUCCGGACGACUCCAAGUCACAAACCGGAUACGUAUUUAUUCUUAAUGGGGGUGCAGUAAGCUGGUGCAGUUCCAAGCAAAGCGUCGUAGCAGAUUCUACAUGUGAAGCGGAGUACAUGGCUGCCUCGGAGGCGGCUAAGGAGGGUGUCUGGAUGAAGCAGUUCAUGACGGAUCUUGGAGUGGUGCCAAGUGCACUGGAUCCAAUAACCUUGUUCUGUGACAACACUGGUGCCAUUGCCUUAGCAAAGGAACCAAGGUUUCACAAGAAGACCAGACACAUCAAACGACGCUUCAACCUCAUCCGCGACUACGUCGACGAAGAGGACAUAAAUAUAUGCAAAGUGCACACGGAUCUGAAUGUAGCAGACCCGCUGACUAAACCUCUUCCACGGCCAAAACAUGACCGACACCAGAACUGUAUGGGUGUUAGAUUUAUUACAAUGUAAUUCACAUGGUGAUGUGAGGGCUAGAUUAUUGACUCUAGUGCAAGUGGGAGACUGUUGGAAUUAUGCCCUAGAGGCAAUAAUAAAUGUAUAGUUGUUAUUAUAAUUCCUGUAUCAAGAUAAUAGUUUAUUAUCCAUGCUAUAAUUGUAUUGAAUGAAGACUCAUUUACAUGUGUGGAUACAUAGACAAAACACCGUCCCUAGCAUGCCUCUAGUUGGCUAGCCAGUUGAUCAAUGAUAGUCAGUGUCUUCUGAUUAUGAACAAGGUGUUGUUGCUUGAUAACUGGAUCACGUCAUUGGGAGAAUCACGUGAUGGACUAGACCCAAACUAAUAGACGUAGCAUGUUGAUCGUGUCAUUUUGUUGCUACUGUUUUCUACGUGUCAAGUAUUUAUUCCUAUGACCAUGAGAUCAUAUAACUCACUGACACCGGAGGAAUGCUUUGUGUGUAUCAAACAUCGCAACGUAACUGGGUGACUAUAAAGGUGCUCUACAGGUAUCUCCGAAGGUGUUAGUUGAGUUAGUAUGGAUCAAGACUGGGAUUUGUCACUCCGUGUGACGGAGAGGUAUCUCGGGGCCCACUCGGUAAUACAACAUCACACACAAGCCUUGCAAGCAAUGUAACUUAGUGUAAGUUGCAGGAUCUUGUAUUACGGAACGAGUAAAGAGACUUGCCGGUAAAACGAGAUUGAAAUAGGUAUGCGGAUACUGACGAUCGAAUCUCGGGCAAGUAACAUACCGAAGGACAAAGGGAAUGACAUACGGGAUUAUACGAAUCCUUGGCACUGAGGUUCAAACGAUAAGAUCUUCGUAGAAUAUGUAGGAUCCAAUAUGGGCAUCCAGGUCCCGCUAUUGGAUAUUGACCGAGGAGUCUCUCGGGUCAUGUCUACAUAGUUCUCGAACCCGCAGGGUCUGCACACUUAAGGUUCGACGUUAUUUUAUGCGUAUUUGAGUUAUAUGGUUGGUUACCGAAUGUUGUUCAGAGUCCCAGAUGAGAUCACAGACAUCACGAGGGUUUCCGGAAUGGUCCGGAAAUGAAGAUUGAUAUAUAGGAUGACCUCAUUUGAUUACCGGAAGGUUUUCGGAGUUACCGGGAAUGUACCGGGAAUGACGAAUGGGUUCCGGGAGUUCACCGGGGGGGGGGGGGGCAACCCACCCCGGGGAAGCCCAUAGGCAUUGGGGGAGCCACACCAGCCCUUAGUGGGCUGGUGGGACAGCCCACAAGUGCCCAAUGCGCCAAGAGAAGAAAAAUCAAGAGGAAAGAAAAAAAAAGGAAGGAGGUGGGAAGGGAGGGGGACUCCUCCCACCAAACCAAGUCCAACUCGGUUUGGGGGGGGAGUCCUCCCCCCCUUGGCUCGGCCGACUCCUUGGGGGUCCUUGGACCCCAAGGCAAGGCCCCCUCCCUCCCACCUAUAUAUACGGAGGUUUUAGGGCUGAUUUGAGACGACUUUCUCACGGCUGCCCGACGACAUACCUCCACGGUUUUUCCUCUAGAUCGCGUUUCUGCGGAGCUCGGGCGGAGCCCUGCUGAGACAAGGUCAUCACCAACCUCCGGAGCGCCGUCACGCUGCCGGAGAACUCUUCUACCUCUCCGUCUCUCUUGCUGGAUCAAGAAGGCCGAGAUCAUCGUCGAGCUGUACGUGUGCUGAAUGCGGAGGUGCCGUCCGUUCGGUACUAGAUCGUGGGACUGAUCGCGGGAUUGUUCGCGGGGCGGAUCGAGGGACGUGAGGACGUUCCACUACAUCAACCGCGUUCUCUAACACUUCUGCUGUACGAUCUACAAGGGUACGUAGAUCACUCAUCCCCUCUCGUAGAUGGACAUCACCAUGAUAGGUCUUCGUGCGCGUAGGAAAUUUUUUGUUUCCCAUGCGACGUUCCCCAACAAAUCAUAAGUGGGAUGUUUGUCCAAGUAAGGGCAGCACCCAAGCACCGGUCCACCCACAUAUCAAACUAUCAAAGUAGCGAACGUGAAUCAUAUGAACAUGAUGAAAACUAGCUUGACAAAAAUUCCCAUGUGUCCUCGGGAGCGCUUUACCUCCUGUAAGAGUUUGUCUAGGCUUGUCCCUUGCUACAAAAGGGAUUGGGACAUCUUGCUGCACCUUUGUUACUAUUGUUACUUGCUACUCGCUAUGAAUUAUCUUAUCACACAACUAUCUGUUACCGAUAAUUUCAGUGCUUGCAGAGAAUACCUUGCUGAAAACCACUUGUCAGAUCCUUUUGCUCCUCGUUGGGUUCGACACUCUUAGUUAUCGAAAGGACUAUGAUAGAUCCCCUACACUUGUGGGUCAUCACCAGCCAUUGCCGCGGCCCCUGCAGAGAUCGCCACUCUUUGUGGUGCAGAUGACGCGGCUGCUGCAUCAAUUGCUGCAGCUGACGAUAGCGACGACGUAUGUGGUGCUAACACCUGGACAUGAUGCACACACAACAACAUGCAUGCCUCCGUGGCGCCCCGAUGACGACACACUGUCGUUAUCGUAUGUGCUAGGAGCGAUCUGCGGAUCAACUUCAACUACCCUGUAGUUUAUCGUAUGUGUUGCUACCCACCCCCUUGGGCACGCCCUGUUGCCUUGUGGGGCCCCAGCAGGUCUAUCGACCUCCCUCUUAUCCUAUAUGGUGUGUUUUACCCUAAAAAUUAUAACGAUACUUGCGGGAUGAAGCGUCACCGUCUCGCGGCGGAAACCUGGGCAGAGACCCUUUUUCUCUCCAGCUGAGAGAUUAUGCCGGGGAAACUUACCUCCGGAAGGGGGAAAUCAAAGCCAUUAUCAUCACCAACUCUUCCUCCUUCGUGGGAGGACCAAUCUUCAUCAACAUCUUCACCAGCACCAUCUCAUCUCAAAAUCCUAGUUCAUAUCUUGUAUUCAAUCUUUGUCUCAAAACCUCACAUUGGUACAUGUGGGUUACUAGUAGUGUAGAUUACAUCUUAUAGUUGGUGCUAGUUGGUUUACUUGGUGAAAGAUAUUAUGUUCAGAUCCUCGAUUACCAUUAUUAUACCUCUGAUCUUGAACAUGUUGAUGAUGUGUGAGUAGUUACUAUUGUUCUUGAGGACAUGUAAGAAGUCUUGUUAUAAGUAAUCAUGUCAAGUUGGUAUUCGUUCGAUAUUUUGAUCAUGCGUAUGGUGUUGCUUCUCUUAGUGGUGUCAUGUGAACGUCGACUAAACGACACUUCACCAUGUUAUGGGCCUAAGGGAAGGCAUUGUGGAAUAACAAGUAGAUGAUGGGUUACGACGGUGACAGAAGCUUAAACCCCAGUUUAAGCGUUGCUUCAUGAGGGGCUGAUUUGGAUCCACGUGUUUCAUGUUAUGGUUAGAUUUAUCUUAAUUCUUCUUUCGUAGUUGCGGAUGCUUGUGAGAGGGGUAAUCAUAAGUGGGUUGCUUGUUCAAGUAAGAACAACACCUUAGCGCCAAUCCACCCUCAUAUGAAAUUAUCAAAGUAACAAAUGUGGAUCAACUCAACAUGUUGACCACGACUAGACAGAAAUUCCCAUGUGUCCUCGGAGCGCUUGCCUCAUAUAACAGUACUUUCACGCAUGUCCUUUGCUAUAAAAAGGAUUGGGCUAUCUUGCUGCACACUUGCUACUAUUGUUACUUGUCACUUGUUAUGAAUUAUCUUGCUAAAAACUACUUAUCAUUUCUACUCAAAGCACUUGCAGAGAAUACCUUGUUGAAACUACUUAUCAUUUCCUUCUACUCCUCGUUGGGUUCGACACUCUUACUUAUAGAAAGUACUACGAUUGAUCCCCUAUACUUGUGGGUGAUGUCAACUGUUCUUCCCCGGCAACGGCGCCAGAAAAAUGCUUGAUGUCAACUGUUCUUCCCCUUUGCAAUGGCACUAGAAGAAUGCUACCAUCACUCUCCGGCAAUCGAAACUAGAAGAAUGUUGUUGACGGCCCACCAGCACGUGGGAUUGUAGCAGUUUUCGAGGGUAGAGUAUUCGACCCAAAUUUGUUGGUAUGCCUAUAGGAGGUGAGAGGAUACUCUCAAGUAUUAGCAGCUGAAUAUGUCAGAUUCAACCACACCUGAAAGAUUAGUAUCUGCAAGCAAAGUAGUAACAACAAAGUAGUAUGAUAACAACGGUGUCAGAAACGAUCUGUUAACAUGGGAGACUAUUUCUAACGAUUGUAUCAAUGGCGCCAAGUUGCCUCGUUGACGGAAGUUGUCAGUUCCCGUCAAUGACUAGUGAACCAAAAUUGUAACAGGUAGCAGCAGUGUAAGGAGCAAUAGCAGCGGCAAGGAAAAGCAGUAGUGACAGCAGUAGCAAGUAGCAACAGUAGCAGCAGAGCAAGACAAGUAACAGCAGUGGCAACCGUAGUAACUGCAGCAGAGCAAGACAAGUAACAACAGUAGCAAUAGUAGUAACAGCAGCAGUAGGACAAACUCGUAGGCAAUGGGUUGGUGAUUUGUUUGGAUGAUAUUCAUCAUGCAACAGCUAUAACACGGAGAGAUAUGUGGCUAGCUCCCGUUCGUCAAUGUGGUGUAGGCAUGCAUUCCGUGUGUCGUCAUAUGUGCUUAGGGAAAAUAACUUGCAUGACAUCUAUUGUCCAUCCCUCCCGUGGCAGCGGGGUCCAAAAGGAAACUACGGGAUAUUAAGGUUCUCCUUUUAAUAAAGAACCGGACCAACGCAUUAGCACUUGGUGAACACAUGAACUCCUCAAACUAUGGUCAUCACCGGGAGUGGUUCCGGUUAUUGUCACUCAGGGAUUGCCGGAUCAUAACACAUAGUAGGUAACUACAACUUGCAAGAUCGGAUCUAAAACACACAUAUAUUGGUGACAACAUAAUAAUUUCAGAUCUGAAAUCAUGGCACUCGGGCCCUAGUGACAAGCAUUAAGCACGACAAAGUAGUAGCAACAUCAAUCUCAGAACAUAGUGGAUACUAGGGAUCAAUCCCCAUCAAAACUAACUCGAUUACAUGAUAGAUAUCAUCCUACUCAUCACCGCCCAACGAGCCUAUGAAUAGAUUACUCACGAACGACGAAGAGCUUCAUGGAAUUGGAGAGGGAAGAAGGUUGAUGAUGACGAUGGCGACGAUUUCCCCUCUCCGGAGCCCAAGACGGACCCCAGAUCUGCCCUCCAGAUGAAGAACAGGUUGUGGCGGCGCCUCCAUAUCGCAAACGCGACGAAAACUUCUCUUUUUAUUUUUUCUGGGACGAAAGGGAACUUAUAGACCUGAGGUUGGGGGCGGCAGAGCCGUGUGGGCCCCACAAGCCUGCCGACCGCCACCAGGGGGGUGGUGGCGGAGCUAGGGCUUGUGGGCCACUGGCCCACCCCCUCAGGUGGAACUUGGCACAGAUAUUUUUCAUGUUUUCCAAAAAUGCUCCCCGUAAAUUUUCAGGACGUUUGGAGAACUUUGAUUUCUGCACAAAAAUAACACCAAGGCAAUUCUGCUGAAAACAGCGUCAGUCCAAGUUAGUUCCAUUCAAAUCAUGCAAAUUAGAGUCCAAAACAAGGGCAAAAGAGUUUGGAAAAGUAGAUACGAUGGAGACAUAUCAACUCCCCCAAGCUUAAAACCUUGCUUGUCCUCAAGCAACUCAGUUGACUAACUGAGAUAGAAAGAAAAACUUUGACAAACUCUGUUUGAUCUUGUUGUUGCAACUAUGUCUAACUCAUAACCAGAAUUUCAGCAAGAUAACAAGUUAACCACAUAAGCAAGUGACACAAAGGUCUCACGACAAACUAAUACCAAUGGCAUAGUCAGCUAAUGAGCAAAUAAUAACGAGUUUCAAAUACCAAUACUUCAAUCAAAACAAGCAUGAAACAAUAUUAACAGGUGGUAUCUCGCUAGCUCUUUCCGAGACCGCAAAACAUAUAUGCAGAGCACUUUCAAAGAUCAUGGGCUGACUAAACAUUGUGAUUCAUAGCAAUGAAAAUCCAGUCAUAGUCAUACUCAAUAUCAAUCAAAAUCAAAGCAUAAAAAUGACAGAGGUGCUCUCUAAUUGGUGCUUAUAUAAGAGGAGGAUGACUCGACAGGAAAAUAAAUAGACAGGCCCUUCGCAGAGGGAAGCAUUGAUUUGCAGAGGUGCCAGAGCUCAAGCUUUGAAAAUAGAGAUAUUAAUUUUGGGUGGCAUGCUUUCAUUGUCAACGCAAUGACCAAGAGUUCUCAAUAUCUUCCAUGCUACUCAUGCUAUAGGCAGUUGCCAAACAGAAAAGUAAAGUUUUAGCUCCCCCACCACCAAUCAAUCACACUCCACGGCUAGCCGAAUCCUCGGGUACCAUCCAUACUAACAUCAAUCCAGGGGGAGUCUUGUUUUACAGUUAUGUUUUCGAUUUAAGCGUGGAACUGGGCAUUCCAAUUACCGGCCCCUUUCUCGUGAAUGACAGUGAAUAAACACAUGUCGAGGAUAACACUCCUAGCGUGGAAGAUACGAAUAGCCCCCUGUCACCACAUGAGCGGUUCGGGCAUGCAAAACAGAUUAUUUCUUGAAGGUUUAGAGAAUGACACAUGCAAAUUUACUUGGAACGGCAGAUAGAUACCGCAAAUAUGUAGGUAUGGUGGACUCUCAUGGAAAAACUUUUGGGUUUAUGGAAGUGGAUGCACAAGCAGUAUUCCGCUUAGUACAAGUGAAGGCUAGCAAAAGACUGGGAAGCGACCAACUAGAGAGCGACAACAGUCAUCAAGAUGCAAUGAGUUUGACUAACAUUAAAUGCAAGCAUGAACAGGAUAUAAAUCAACAUGAACACGAACAUCAUAGAUGCCAUGUUUAUUUUGUUUCAACUACAUGCAUGAACAUGCGACAAGUCAAGCCACUUGAAACAUUCAAAGGAGAAUACCAUCCUAUCAUACUACAUCAUAGUCAUCUCAAAAUCUAUGUUGGCAAUCAAGACAAACCAUUAUAAGCUCUCAGCUAAAUAAGUAUGGCAUCAGAAACUAUGAUCUCUAAGUUGUCAUUGCAAACAUGGUUCUCUCACAACAAAGCUAAAUCUGGGUCGACAAGCUAGUCAUAUUGACAAAAACAAAAUAGAUAGAGUUCAUACCAGCUUUUCAGUCUUAGUCACUUCAUCAUAUAUCAUCAUUGUUGCCUUUCAUUUGCACGAUCAAACGCUGUGAACGAUAAUAAGAGUGCUCGUGCAUUGUACUAAGCUGAAUCUGGAGGCAAACACAAAGGAGAAGACAAAGUAAUAUGGCUCUUUUGAAAGCUAAACAGGUAAGCAUGUAAGAACCCAUAAACAUUGUAACCAAUAUCUUCUACCUUGACACAAAGAAAAAUAAAACGAUUUACACGGGAAAGCUCCCAACAAGCGAAAGAAGAAAGAAAAAUAUUUUUGGGUUUUCUCAAAAGGACACAAAACAAGAAAACAAGAAAACGAAAAUAAACUAGCAUGGAUAAUACAGUGGCAAAGUGUAAACACCGGCUAACAAAGUGAAAGCAUAAGCAUGAAUGUAAAGUCGGUGAGAACACAUACUCCCCAAGCUUAGGCUUUUGGCCUAGCUUGCUCUACUCCCAAGGUGGGAAAUAACCAGCUCCAGGAUAUUCCGGAGCAGACUGUGGAUGCCACUGCUGUGUGAGCUCCUCUGGCUCCCACUGAUAAACUGGCGUCUGGUACUUGACUGGCGGCUCGGGCAUGGGUGCCUGUGGUUGGGCCAAGCCUCAAUAUGCGUAGAUGUCCGAGGGCAUAAUAGUAAUAGUAAUAGUCUCUCGAGUACCCUGACUAAAUACUAGGUUAUAAAUAAUCCGUCUACUAGCAUCUCUAUCCAGAAAAUCAUGGCGAACCAUGCUGUCAUAAUCCAGAUAUUUCUCAGGGAGAAGCAUCUCUCCUUCCUCUCCCAGUCUAAUGGGUACCUCAAAGUGUGUGGAAAGACGGGUAGCGUAGAUACCUCCGUAGACGACACCUUUAGAAUGGUUCAGGUUCAACCGUUGAGCAACUAUAGUGCCCAAGCUAUAAGUCUUAUCAUUAUAAAGGCUUUUGCGCAAAGCCGCAAGGUUUGGAGAACAAAGUGAUCCAGCCUCCCCACGGCGAAUCAAAUAUUUUCCCACAAAUAAUGAGAAGUACCGAUGCAUAGGAAAAUGUAUGCUAGCAAUUCUAGCGCGAGACACUCCUCUCUCCUCUCCAACAGCAAUAGAACCAAUAAAAUCCUCCAAGUCCCGUGGACGAGGGUCACGGAUAUCCUCAACAUAAGGUAUUUUUCAUACAUUGCAAAAAUCUUGCAGCGUCAUGCACUGGGGGACAUCGUAUAUCAUGAACUCAACCAUGGAAGGAUUCUUCCUCGGAUAAAAGUUGAAGCUUUGAACGAAAAUAUUGGUGAGGAGGAGGUAUUGUGAGCACUUAUCUUCAACGAACGCAGUAAGACCUGCAUUCUCCACCAAGUAAUAAAAGUCUUCAUAAAGUCCGGCGGCGCGCAAAAAUUCAUCACUUGGCCACUCGCACGCUCGAACUUCUGUGACUCGAGGAACUACGCACUUGGGGUGGUUCUUCUCAUCCUCCUUGGGGUUACGGCUUGAGGAGCCUCUCAAGAACCUCCUCAUCUUUUCCUUUUUCUAGCUCUGAAAAAUUCUGAAAUUUUUAGAGACUUCGAAAGAAAAGUGAAUAAAGAUUAACCCAACUUGUAGCAACUACUCCUACUAGUGCCUAGAGACCGUAUCACGCGCUAAAACUACUUGGGACCAGCUAAAAUCAACAUUUCUAGCUCAAGAACAGGGUCACCAAGGUAGCAAGAAUACGCGAAGGAUGAAGCACUAGAGCAAAAACUAAUUGGACCAAUGGAGGAGUCACUUACCAAGGAGUAAUUUCCCCAAAACGGUUCGGAUAAUGGUGCUUUGAGCAAGGAGAUCGAAAAUCACAGCCAAAUGAGCAAGAACACGGGUUUGAGCUGCGAAACAAUUUUUUUCUGGAGGUGGAAGAAGAGGCUGGGAGCUGGAAUGAGUGGAGGGGGUUCCUGUGGGCCCCACAAGCUUGCACUCCGCCACCAGGGGGGUAGGUGGUGGUGGCAGGGCUUGUGGCCCACUGGUCUGCCCCCCAGGCCAGCUCUCAGGCCCAGUAAUUUUCAAAAAUUCCAGAAAAAAUCAUACUAAAUUUUCAGGACCAUCGGAGAAGUUUUAUUUUCGAGGUAUUUUUCUCCGGGACGCUAAAACAGAAAACAGGGAAAGCUAAACUAAUUCUAUUAUUUUUCUUCUGAGCAAAAGAAAAUGAAAGCUUAAAACAAAGGUAUGUGACUCUUUGAUUCAUCUGUUUCAUGGUCAUCGAAAGAAAUCCGUCAAUGGGAUUGAUCAAGUCCUUAUGACAAAACCUUCUCGAAUUGAAAGAGAGAAUGAAGAAUUUUCGAAUAGCCACUAAGUCACCUCAAUAGGGAUAUGUAUCUCCCCAACAAGCAAAUCAUACUUCAUCUUGACACGAGGAAUAGGGCAUUCAAAGCUCCCAAUAAGAAUCGAUGAAGUUUUUUCGAUAGCAUUGAUGCAAUGUACAUGAUAUCGUUUCUUCGAAAAGUGCACUGUGUGCUCAUUACCGUUGACAUGGAAAGUGACAUUGCCUUUGUUGCAAUCUAUAACAGCCCCUGCAGUGUUUAAAAAGGGUCUUCCGAGGAUGACAGCCAUGGCAUCGUCCUCGGGAAUAUCCAAGAUAACAAAGUCUGUUAAGAUAGUGGUGUUAGCAACCACAACAUGCACAUCCUCGCAAAUGCCGAUAGACAAAGCAGUUGAUUUGUCAGCCAUUUGCAGAGAAAUUUCAGUGGGUGUCAACUUAUCCAACUCAAGUCUAUGAUAAAGAGAGAGCGACAUAACACUAACACAGGCUCCAAGGUCACAUAAGGCAGUUCUUACGUAGUUUCCUUUAAUGGAGCAAGGUAUAGUGGGCACUCCGGGAUCACCAAGUUGCUUAGGAGUUCCACCUUUGAAAGUGUAAUUGGCAAGCAUGGUGGAGAUCUCAAGAUCUGGCAUCUUCCGUUUAUUAGUCACGAUAUCUUUCAUGUACUUGGCAUACACAGACAUCUUGAGCAUAUCAGUUAACCGCAUCUGCAGAAAGAUGGGUCUUGUCAUCUCAACGAAGCGCUCAAAAUACUCAUGAUCCUUUUUCUUGGAUGGCUUAGGAGGGAAGGGCAUAGGUCUCUGAACCCAUGGCUCUCUUUCUUUACCAUGCUUCCUAGCAGUGAAGUCAUUCUUAUCGUAUUUCUUAGGUUGUGGGUUAUCAGGAUUAACCGUAUGUUCAAUCUCCACAUCCUCAACAUUGCUAGAUUGAGCAUUAUUAUGAACAUCACUGUCCAUAUUGUCACCGGGUUCAUGUUCAUAACCAGAUUGUGUUUCUGCAUCAGACGCAGAAAUAUCAUUAGGUUCUUCUGGUGUGACAGUAUUUGGUGAACUGGCAUGUAGGUUUCUAUCAUCCUUCUUCUUCUCCUUAGGAUGACUAGGUGUAUCAGCAUUGAUUCCUUGAGAAUCUUGAUCAAUUCUCUUAGGAUGACCUUCAGGAUACAAAGGUUCCUGAGUCAUUUUGCCUCCUCUAGUAACGACUCUGACAGAGUUGUCAUUUAAUUCAUUGAGCAGGUCAUUCUGAGCUUUAAGUACUUGUUCUACCUGAGUAGUAAUCAUAGAGGCAUGUUUACUCAGAAGCUUCAGAGCAUUGACAUUUCUGUCUACACAAGCACUUAAAUGGCUAAGCAUACGAGUACUUUGUUCCAAAUGUCUGCUAACAUAAUCAUUGAAACUCUGUUGUUUGGCAACAAAGUUGUCAAAUUCAUCAAAGCAUAGGCUAGCAGGUUUAUCAAAAGGAAUAUCACUCUCAUCAAACCUACGCAGAGAAUUCACUUCUACUACCUGUAUCGGGUUAUCGAGACCAUGGAUCUCUUCGAUAGGUGGUAGAUUUUUGACAUCUUCAGCUCUAAUGCCUUUCUCUUGCAUAGAUUUCUUGGCUUCUUGCAUAUCUUGGGGACUGAGGAAUAUAAUACCUCUUUUGUUAGGAGUUGGCUUAGGAGGUGGUUCGGGAAUAGUCCAAGCAUUAUCGUUGAUCAAGAGGUUAUUCAGUAGAGUCUCAGGUUGUUCUACAGUCCGUUCCCUAAAAACACAACCGACACAACUAUCUAGGUAGUCUCUAGUGGCAUCAGUAAGUCCGUUAUAGAGGAUAUCAAGUAUCUCGUUCUUCUUAAGAGGGUGAUCAGGCAAAGAAUUUUGUAGCUAGACGAGCCUCCCCCAAGCUUGUGGAAGACUCUCUUCUUGGAGUUGAGCAAAGUUGUAUAUUUCCGGCAAGGCUGCUUGCUUCUUAUGGGCAGGGAAAUAUUUCUCACAGAAGUAAUAGACCAUCUCCUGGGGACUACGCACACAUCAGGAGCAAGAGAUGUGAACCAGGCUUUAGCAUCAUCCUUUAGAGAGAAAGGAAACAGCUUAAGGAUAUAGUAGUGGCAGAUCUUCUCCUCAUUAGUGAAAAGGUUGGCUAUUUUGGAUAUAGUAGUCUCAGAAAUGAUCCGUUGACGUCAGACUAUUCCUAACGAUUGUAUCAAUGGCGCCUUCGUUGCCGCGUCGAUGGAAGUUGUCAAUUCCCGUCAACGGUAGGUGAACCAACAGCGUAGCAGGUAGCAGCAGUGUAACGAGCAAUAGCAGUGGCAAGGAACAGCAGUAGUGACAGCAGUAGCAAGUAGCAACAGUAGCAGCAGCAGAGCAAGACAAGUAACAGCAAUAGCAACAGUAGUAGCAACAGAGCAAGACAAGUAACAACAGUAACAACAGUAGUAGCAGCAGAGCAAGACAAGUAACAACAAUAGCAAUAGUAGUAGGACAAACUCGUAGGCAAUGGGUCGGUGAUUUGUUUGGAUGAUAUUCAUCAUGCAAUAGCUAUAACACGGAGAGAUAUGUGGCUAGCUCCCGUUCAUCAAUGUGAUGUAGGCAUGCAUUCCGUGUGCCGUCAUACGUGCUUAGGGAAAAGAACUUGCAUCACAUCUAUUGUCCAUCCCUCCGUGGCAGCAGGGUCCUAAAGGAAACUAUGGGAUAUUAAGGUUCUCCUUUUAAUAAAGAAUCGGACCAACGCAUUAGCACUUGGUGAACACAUGAACUCCUCAAACUAUGGUCAUCACCGGGAGUGGUUCCGGUUAUUGUCACUCCGGGGUUGCCGGAUCAUAACACAUAGUAGGUAACUACAACUUGCAAGAUCGGAUCUAAAACACACAUAUAUUGGUGACAACAUAAUAAUUUCAGAUCUGAAAUCAUGGCACUCGGGCCCUAGUGACAAGCCUUAAGCAUGGCAAAGUAGUAGAAACAUCAAUCUCAGAACAUAGUGGAUACUAGGGAUCAAUCCCCAUCAAAACUAACUCGAUUACAUGAUAGAUCUCAUCCUACUCAUCACCGCCCAGCGAGCCUACGAAUAGAUUACUCACGAACGACGAAGAGCUUCAUGGAAUUGGAGAGGGAAGAAGGUUGAUGAUGAUGAUGGCGACGAUUUCCCCUCUCCGGAGCCCAAGACGGACUCCAGAUCUGCCCUCCAGAUGAAGAACAGGUGGUGGCAGCGCCUCCGUAUCGAAAACGCGACGAAAAAUUCUCUUUUUUAUUUUUUCUAGGACAAAAGGCAACUUAUAGAGCCGGAGUUGGGGGCGGCAGGGCCGUGUGGGCCCCACAAGCCUGCCCACCGCCACCAGGGGGUGGUGGCGGAGCAGGGGCUUGUGGCCCACUGGCCCACCCCCUGUGGUCGAGCUUGGCGCAGAUAUUUUUGAUAUUUUCCAAAACUGCUCCCCGUAAACUUUCAUGACGUUUGGAGAACUUUGAUUUCUGCACAAAAAUAACACCAAGGCAAUUCUGCUGAAAACAGCGUCAGUCCAGGUUAGUUCCAUUCAAAUCAAGCAAAUUAGAGUCCAAAACAAGGGCAAAAGAGUUUGGAAAAGUAGAUACGAUGGAUACGUAUCAACUCCCCAAGCUUAAAACCUUGCUUGUCCUCAAGCAACUCAGUUGUCAAACUGAGAGAGAAAGAAAAACUUUGACAAACUCUGUAUGAUCUUGUUGUUGCAACUAUGUCUAACUCAUAACUAGAAUUUCAGCAAAAUCACAAGUUAACCACAAAAGCAAAUGACACUAAGGGCUCACGGUAAACUAAUAUCAAUGGCAUAAUCAGCUAACGAGCAAAUAAUAAUGAGUUUCAAAUGCCAACACUUCAAUCAAAACAAGCAUGAAGCAAUAUGAAUAGGUGGUAUCUCGCUAGCUCUUUUUGAGACCGCAAAACAUAAAUGCAGAGCACUUUCAAAGAUCAAGGGCUGACUAAACAUUGUAAUUCAUAGUAACGAAGAUCCAGUCAUAGUCAUACUCAAUAUCAAUCAAAAGCAAAGCAUAAAAAUGACAGAGGUGCUCUCUAAUUGGUGCUUAUAUAAGAGGAGGAUGACUCGAUAGGAAAGUAAAUAGACAGGCCCUUCGCAGAGGGAAGCAUUGAUUUGCAGAGAUGCCAGAGCUCAAGCUUUGAAAACAGAGAUAAUAAUUUUGGGUGGCAUGCUUUCACUGUCAACGCAAUGACCAAGAGUUCUCAAUAUCUUCCAUGCUACUCAUGCUAUAGGCGGUUCCCAAACAGAAAAGUAAAGUUUUAACUCCCCCACCACCAAUCAAUCACACUCCACGGCUAGUCGAAUCCUCGGGUACCGUCCAUACUAACAUCAAUCCGGGGGGAGUCUUGUUUUAUAGUUAUGUUUCCGAUUUAAGCGUGGAACUGGGCAUCCCAAAUAUCAGCCCCUUUCUCAUGAAUGACUGUGAAUAAACACAUGUCGAGGAUAACACUCCUAGCAUGGAGGAUACCAAUAGCCCUCUGUCACCACAUGAGCGGUUCGGGCAUGCAAAACAGAUUAUUUCUUGAAGGUUUAGAGAAUGGCACAUGGAAAUUUACUUGGAACGGCACGUAGAUACCGCAAAUAGGUAGGUAUGGUGGACUCUCAUGGAAAAACUUUUGGGUUUAUGGAAGUGGAUGCACAAGCAGUAUUCCGCUUAGUACAAGUGAAGGCUAGCAAAAGACUGGGAAGCGACCAACUAGAGAGCGACAACGGUCAUCAAGAUGCAAUGAGUUUGACUAACAUUAAUUGCAAGCAUGAACAUGAUAAAAAUCACCAUCAAUACAAAUAUCAUAGAGGCUAUGUUGAUUUUGUUUCAACUACAUGCAUGAACAUGCGCCAAGUCAAGCGACUUGAAACAUUCAAAGGAGAAUACCAUCCUAUCAUACUACAUCCUAGUCAUCUCAAAAUCUAUGUUGGCAUUCAAGACAAACCAUUAUAAGCUCUUAGCUAAAUAAGCAUGGCAUGAGAAACUAUGAUCUCUAAGUUGUCAUUGCAAAUAUGGUUCUGUCACAACAAAGCUAAAUCUGGUUCGACAAGCUAGUCAUAUUUACAAAAACAAAAUAGAUAGAGUCCAUACCAACUUUUCAGUCUCAGUCACUUCAUCAUAUAUCAUAAUUGUUGCCUUUCAUUUGCACGAUCGAAUGAUGAAAACGAUAAUGAGCGCAUUGGACUAAGCUGAAUCUGCACGCAAAUACAAAGGAGAAGACAAAGUAAUAUGGCUCUUUUGAAAGCUAAACAGGUAAGCAUGCAAGAACCAAUAAACAUUGUAACCAAUAUCUUCUACCUUGACACAAAGAAAAAGAAAACUAUUUACACGGGAAAGCUCCCAACAAGCAAAAGAAAGAAAAAUCUUUUUGGGUUUUCUCAAACGGACACAAAACAAGAAAACAAGAAAACGGAAAGAAACUAGCAUGGAUAAUAAAGUGGCAAAGUGUAAACACCGGCUAACGAAGUGAAAGCAUAAGCAUGAAUGUAAAGUCGGUGAGAACACGUACUCCCCCAAUCUUAGGCUUUUGUCCUAGCUUGGUCUACUCCCAUGGAUGAUCCUGGCGAAACCCAAAGUCAUAAUGGGUGUUAUACGGGUGUGCUGCAGCCACUGCCUGAAUAGCCGCCUCACGAAGUCGAGCAGCCGUCGCCUCCCUCUCAUACUCGUGUGCCUCUCCUAUGGUUAUGUAGUAUCUUCAUUUAACCUGAAGUCAAAGAAAGCAGGAGCAGGAAGGGUAAUAUGGAAAACACGUUGCCGGUUAAAUAUCAAGCGGUAUAGGAGGGAUCCAUGAUCUCUAUCAAGGAACUGGUAGCUUGUUAGAGCGACACGAUCAAGGUAGGCUCUACGGAGAGGAGGGUCUUCUGGACGGAUGGAUACUCCCAGAAAAUUUGCUAAGCGUGUAGCAUAAACUCCAUCAAAGAAAUCCCCCUCACUCGCAUUUUUAUUCAGCCUCCUUGCUAUUAUAGCUCCCAUAUUGAAGCUCCUGUCACCUGUUACUGCGCUCUUAAGGAUACUAAGGUCGGAAGUGCAUAGGUGACAAUGUACACCUUUGCCGUUAAUGCACCUACCUAUGAAGAGGGCAAGGUAGUGCAAGGCAGGGAAAUGGAUGCUUCCUAUGGUGGCUUGCGUGAUAUCUCUGGUUUCUCCCACAGUUAUACUGGAGACAAAGUCUCUGACCGAAGACUUAGGAGGAUCAUUAACACUACCCCAAUCGGGUAUCUUGCAAAUCCUAUUGGAAUCCUCCAGAUCCACGGUAUAUGAUUUAUCGUACAGGUCAAAUAGCAUGGAUGAUUCACGGCCAGCUAAAAAUUUAAAUCUACACAUGAAAGAGGCAGUGAGCAUAGCAUACUGUUCACAUUUAUCUGAGAGGAAUUCUUCUAACCCGACAUUGCGGACAAGUGCAUCGAACUCAUCCUUGAAGCCUGCUUCGAUCAUGAACUCAUCAGAAGGCCAUUCACAUGGUUGUACCGGUGCGUCCCUUAGUUGAAAAGGUUCGGGCUCCCGAAAAGAGAGACGAGGACCCUUCUUACUUGAGGAACCACCAUGAAACUUCCUCCUGAACAUAAUUCCCUUAUGCUGAAAUUUUUGAAGUUCAAGAGAAAAGUGAAUAAAGACCCACCACACCUUGUAGCAACUACUCCUACUAGUGCCUAGAGACCGUAUCACGCGCUAAAACUACUUGGGACCAACUAAAAUCAACAUUUCUAGCUCAAGAACAGGGUCACCAAGCUAGCAAGAAUACUCGAAGGAUAAAGCACUAGAGCAAAAACUAAUUGGACCAAUGGAGGACUCACUUACCAAGGAGCAAUUUCCCCAAAACGGUUCGGAGAAUGGUGCUUUGAGCUAGGAGAUCGAAAAUCACAGCCAAAUGAGCAAGAACACAGGUUUGAGCUGCGAAACAAUUUUUUCUGGAGGUGGAAGAAGAGGCUGGGAGCUAGAAUGAGUGGAGGGGGUGCCUGUGGGCCCCACAAGCUUGCACCACACCACCAGGGGGUGGUGGCGGAGCAAGGGCUUGUGGCCCACUGGUCAGGCCCCCAAGCCAGCUCUGAGGCCCAGAAAUUUUCAAAAAUUCCAGAAAAAAUCAUACUAAAUUUUCACGACAAUCGGAGAACUUUUAUUUUCGAGGUAUUUUUCUCCGGGACGCUAAAAUAGAAAACAGGAAAAGCUAAAUUAAUUCCAUCAUUUUUCUUCUAAGCAACAGAAAAGGAAAACUCAAAACAGAGGUAAGUGACUCUUUGAUUCAUCCGUCUCAUGGUCAUCGAAAGAAAUCCGUCAAUGGGAUUGAUCAAGUCCUUAUGACAAAACCUUCUCGAAUCGCAAGAGAGAACGGAAAUUUUUCGAAUAGCCACUAAGUCACCUCAAUGGGGAUAUGUAUCUCCCCAACAAGCAAAUCAUACUUCAUCGUGACACGAGGAAUAGGGCAUUCAAAGCUCCCAAUGAGAAUCGAUGAAGUCUUUUCGAUAGCAUUGAUGCAAUGUACUGGAUAUCGUCUCUUCGGAAAGUGCACUGUGUGCUCAUUACCGUUGACAUGGAAAGUGACAUUGCCUUUGUUGCAAUCUAUAACAGCCCCUGCAGUGUUUAAAAAGGGUCUUCCGAGGAUGAUAGCCAUGGCAUCGUCCUCGGGAAUAUCCAAGAUAACAAAGUCUGUUAAGAUAGUUGUAUUAGCAACCACAACAGGCACAUCCUCGCAAAUGCCGAUAGGGAAAGCAGUUGAUUUGUCGGCCAUUUGCAGAGAAAUUUCAGUGGGUGUCAACUUAUCCAACUCAAGUCUACGAUAAAGAGAGAGCGGCAUAACACUAACACCUGCUCCAAGGUCACAUAAGGCAGUUCUUACGUAGUUUCCUUUAAUGGAGCAAGGUAUAGUGGGCACUCCGGGAUCACCAAGUUUCUUAGGAGUUCCACCUUGGAAAGUAUAAUUGGCAAGCAUGGUGGAGAUCUCAAGAUCUGGUAUCUUCCGUUCAUUAGUCACGAUAUCUUUAAUGUACUUGGCAUACGGAGACAUCUUGAGCAUAUCAGUUAACCGCAUCUGCAGAAAGACAGGUCUUAUCAUCUCAAUGAAGCGCUCAAAAUCCUCAUCAUCCUUUUUCUUGGAUGGCUUAGGAGGAAAGGGCAUAGGUCUCUGAACCCAUGGCUCUCUUUCUUUACCAUGCUUCCUAGCAGUGAAGUCAUUCUUGCCGUAUCUCUUAGGUGGUGGAUUAUCAGGAUUAACCGUAGGUUCAGUCUCCACAUCCUCAUCAUGGCUAGGUUGAGCAUUAUUAUGAACAUCACUGUCCAUGUUGUCACCAGGUUCAUGUUCAUCACCAGAUUGUGUUUCUGCAUCAGACGCAAAAAUAUCAUUAGGUUCUUCAGGUGUGACAGUAUUUGGUGAACUGGCGUGUAGGCUUCUAUCAUCCUUCUUCUUCUCCUUAGGAUGAUUAGGCGUAUCAGCAUUGAUUCCUUGAGAAUCUUGAUCAAUUCUCUUAGGAUGACCUUCAGGAUACAAAGGUUCCUGAGUCAUUUUGCCUCCUCUAGUAAUAACUCUGACAGAGUUGUCAUUUAAUUCAUUGAGCAGGUCAUUCUGAGCUUUAAGUACUUGUUGUACCUGAGUAGUAAUCAUAGAGGCAUGUUUACUCAGAAGCUUUAGAGAAUUGACAUUUCUGUCUAUACAAGCACUUAAAUGGCUAAGCAUACGAGCACUUUGUUCCCAAUGUCUGCUAACAUACUCAUUGAAACUCUGUUGUUUGGCAACAAAGUUGUCAAAUUCAUCAAAGCAUAGGCUAGCAGGUUUAUCAAAAGGAAUAUCACUCUCAUCAAACAUACGCAGAGAAUUCACUUCCACUACCUGUAUCGGGUUAUCGAGACCAUGGAUCUCUUCGAUAGUUGGUAGAUUUUUUACAUCUUCAGAUCUAAUGCCUUUCUCGUGUAUAGAUUUCUUGGCUUCUAGAAUAUCAUCGGGACUGAGGAAUAGAAUACCUCUUUUCUUAGGAGUUGGCUUAGGAGGUGGUUCGGGAAUAGUCAAAGAAUUAUCGUUGAUCAAGAGGUUAUUCAGUAGGGUCUCACCUUGCUCUACAAUUCGUUCCCUAAAAACACAACCGGCACAACUAUCUAGGUGGUCUCUAGAGGCAUCGGUAAGUCCGUUAUAGAGGAUAUCAAGUAUCUCGUUCUUCUUAAGAGCGUGAUCAGGCAAAGCAUUCUAUAUCUAGAUGAGCCUCCCCCGAGCUUGUGGAAGACUCUCUUCUUGGAGUUGAGCAAAGUUGUAUAUUUCCUGUAAGGCAGCUUGCUUCUUAUGGGUAGGGAAAUAUUUCUCACAGAAGUAAUAGACCAUCUCCUGGGGACUACGCACACACCGAGGAGCAAGAGAGGUGAACCAGGCUUUAGCGUCAUCCUUUAGAGAGAAAGGAAACAACUUAAGGAUAUAGUAGUGGCGGAUCUUCUCCUCAUUAGUGAAAAGGUUGGCUAUUUCGGAUAGUUUGGCAAGAUGGGCUAUGACCGUCUCAGACUCAUAACCGUGAAAAGGACCAGAUUCGACUAGAGAGAUUAUCUCAGGGUCGACAGAGAAUUCAUAAUCCUUAUCGGUGACAAAGAUAGGCGAAGUGGCAAACUUCGGGUCAUUUUUCAUCCUAGCUUCCCGAGAUUUUUCUUUCCACUUGAGAAGUAAUUUCUCGGCGUCAUAAGCACCCUUACACGCAAGAAAACCCUCAGCUAUCUCUCCCUCCAUAACGUAACCCUCAGGUAUAUCGGGCAAUUCAUAUCUAGGAGAGCUAGAUCUAGCAGGAGCAAAAGCAGGUUCUAUCUCAAUAGUAUCGGUAGUUUCAGAAGCAUCACGAGCAUUGGCAGUAACUCUAGCAAUAUGAGCAUCAAGGAACACUCCUAGUGGAACAUCAGGCAAAAUAGCAUCUCUAGCAAUAUUAGGCAUAGCAUCAAGCAUAGUAUCAUCAGGCAUAGUAUCAAGCAUAGCAUCUCUAGCAGUAGUAUCACAAGCAUCAUCAAGCACAUGCGACAAAUCAAGAUUUCUAGCAGGAGGUGAUGUCGCAAACUUACUCAUAAAUGAAGGUGAAUCAAGUGCAGAGCUAGAUGGCAAUUCCUUACCUCCCCUCAUAGUUGAGGGCAAGACUUUGGUCUUCGGAUCCUUCAGAUUCUUCAUAGUGAUCAAAAGAUAUAAAUCCCAAGUGACUCGGAGAAUAUAACAAUACCUCCCCGGCAAUGGCGCCAGAAAAAUGCUGAUCUACAAUCUCUGGCAUUAGCUAGACGAAUGCUGAUAACAACAAACCUUCUCCUGCAACGGCACCAGAAGAAUGCUGCUAGCACUCCCCAGCAAUGAAACUAGAAGAAUGUUGUUGAUGUCCCACCAACGCUUGGGUUCGCAACAGUUUUCGAGGGUAGAGUAUUCGACCCAAAUUUGUUGAUUCGCACGACGGGUGGUGAGAGAAUACUCUCAAGUAUUAGCAGCCGAAUUUGUCAGAUUCAACCACACCUGAAAGAUUAGUAUCUGCAAGCACAGUAGUAACAACAAAGUAGCGAGUAACGGCAGUGUAACGAGCAAUAGCAGUGGCAAGGAACAGCAAUGGUGACAGCAGUAGCAAGUAGCAACAGUAGCAAGCGACAAUAGUAGCAAUAGUAGCAGCAGAGCAAGACAAGUAACAGCAGUAGCAACAGUAGUAGCAGCAGUAGAGCAAGACAAGUAACAGGAGUAGGACAAACUCGUAGGCAAUGGGUCGGUUAUUUGUUUGGAUGAUAUUCUUCAUGCAACAACUAUAACAUGGAGAGAAAUAUGGCUAGCUCCCGUUUGUCAAUGUGAUGUAGGCAUGCAUUCCGUGUGUCAUCAUACGUGCUUAGGGAAAAUAACUUGCAUGACAUCUAUUGUCCAUCCCUCCCGUGGCAGCAGGGUCCAAAAGGAAACUACGGGAUAUUAAGGUUCUCCUUUUAAUAAAGAACCGGACCAACACAUUAGCACUUGGUGAACACAUGAACUCCUCAAACUAUAUGGUCAUCACUGGGAGUGGUUCCGGUUAUUAUCACUCCGGGGUUGCUGGAUCAUAACACAUAGUAGGUAACUACAACUUGCAAGAUCGGAUCUAAAACACACAUAUAUUGGUGACAACAUAAUAAUUUCAGAUCUGAAAUCAUGCCACUCGGCCCCUAGUGACAAGCAUUAAGCUUGGCAAAGUAGUAGCAACAUCAAUCUCAGAACAUAGUGGAUACUAGGGAUCAAUCCACAUCAAAACUAACUCGAUUACAUGAUAGAUCUCAUCCUACUCAUCACCGCCCAGCGAGCCUACGAAUAGAUUACUCACGAACGACGAAGAGCUUCAUGGAAUUGGAGAGGGAAGAAGGUUGAUGAUGACGAUGGCGACGAUUUCCUCUCUCCGGAGCCCAAGAUGGACUCCAGAUCUGCCCUCCAGAUGAAGAACAGGUGGUGGCGGUGCCUCCAUAUCAAAAACGCGACGAAAAAUUCUCUUUUUUAUUUUUUCUAGGACGAAAGGCAACUUAUAGAGCUGGAUUUGGGGGCGGCAGGGCCGUGUGGGCCCCACAAGCCUGCCCACCGCCACCAGGGGGUGGUGGCGGAGCAGGGGCUUGUGGCCCACUGGCCCACCCCCUGAGGUGGAGCUUGGCGGAGAUAUUUUUGAUAUUUUCCAAAACUGCUCCCCGUAAAUUUUCAGGACAUUUGGAGACUUUGAUUUCUGCACAAAAAUAACACCAAGGCAAUUCUGCUGAAAACAUUGUUAGUCCAGGUUAGUUCCAUUCAAAUCAUGCAAAUUAGAGUCCAAAACAAGGACAAAAGAGUUUGGACAAGUAGAUACGAUGGAGACGUAUCAUGCAUCACCCUUUCCUCUUCAAGGGAAAAACCGACGCAAACCAGAGAAGUAACAAGAAGAAUUCCUAGCGCCAGGGAAGGACUUUUGUUGACGUAGCAGAAGAAUUUCUGGCGCCGUUGCCAGGGAGGAAGAUCAAGUCAAGAACUUAUCCAUGUAGGUGUCGCAAACUCAUCUCUUGCAUUUAGUUUGUUUGCCAGUUGCCUCUCAUUUUCCUCUCCCCCACUUGACAAUUUGCCUUUUUCGUUCGCUUUUUCGUUUGCCCUUUUCUCUCGCUUGCUUUCUGUUUGCUUGUGUUGCCAUGUGCCUUCAAUAUGCUUGCAUCUUCGCUUGCUGAAAAUCUAGUGAUAUGGAUCCUCAUCCACUUGCUAAUCUCUUUAAGAGAUCCAAUUAUGUUGAUCCAAUUGCUAGUGAGUUGAGUGCACUUGACUAUCUUUAUGGAGUUUUUCUUGAGAUGCGUGAAUCUGAAAAUUGUGAGGAAGAAAUUUAUGAAGGGAUUCAUGAGGGCUCCUUGGAUGAAAAGCAUGAUUGCCAUGGUUUCAUUAUAAAUUCUAUUAAUGACAAUCAUGCUAAAAAUAUGCAAAACCCUAAGCUUGGGGAUGCUAGUUUUGUUAUGUCCACUACUUGUUGCAAUGAUAUUUGCAAUAAUAUUGAAAGUGGGUUUGGGGAAGUCAUGACUUUAGUUGAUGAUAAUCCCACUAUUUUUGAAGAGCAUCAACUUUGCAUGCAUGUGGAUCAUGAAAAGAAUAUCCUUUGUGAUAGCUAUUUUGUUAAAUUUGAUUAUGAUCCCACAUGUAAUUGCUAUGAGAGAGGAAAAUAUUGUGGUAGAAACUUUCAUGUUACCAAAUUACCUCUCGUUAUGUUGAGAUUGCUAUUGUCUCUUUCUUCUUCCUUGCAUUUGGUAACUAUUGGUUGUCUUGCCAAUUUGUACUCCUAUAAAAUGCCUAUGCAUAGGAAGUAUGUUAGACUUAGAUGUGAUUUUCACAUGCUUUAUGAUGCUCUCUUUGUGCUUCAAUUCUUGUCUUUUGUGUGAGCAUCAUUGAAUUAUCAAUGCCUAGCUAAGGGCGUUAAACAAUAACGCUUGUUGGGAGGCAACCCAAUGAAUUUCUCUUUUUCUUUCUGUUUUGUUGCGUCCACACCAUCACAAUUCUGUUGUGAUUGUGUUUUUUGUGUUUCUUUUUGUGUUUGAGGCAAGCAAAACCUUUAUGACUAGCCUUGGUAAUGGUUGUUUGAUCCUGCUGGAAAAAGACAUAAACUUUUCGCUCACGAGAUGAUUUUUCAUUUUUAAUCAGAAAGAGCUUUUGAUUUGAUUAUUUUUGCUGCUGGUUGAUAUGCCUUUUGCCGAGGCCGUCGUAAUUGUUCAGAGUUUUUGAGGUACGAGAAGUAUACGAAGUAUACAGAUUGCUACAGACUGGUCUGUUUUUGACAGAUUCUAUUUUUGUUGAGUUGGUUGCUUGUUUUCAUGAAACUAUGGUUAGUAUCGAGGGGUACUAAAAGUGAAAAUACAGUAGCCCAACACCAAUAUAGAUGGAAUUCAAGUUUGCUACAGUACCAAAAGAAGUGGUAGUUUGUUUUCUUGUGCUAAUGUUAUCACGAGUUUCUGUUUAAGUUUUGUGUUGUGAAGUUUUCAUGUUUUGGGUGAUGUUCUCAUGGACAAAGAGAUAAAGAGUGGAAAGAGCUCAAGCUUNNNNNNNNNNNNNNNNNNNNNNNNNNNNNNNNNNNNNNNNNNNNNNNNNNNNNNNNNNNNNNNNNNNNNNNNNNNNNNNNNNNNNNNNNNNNNNNNNNNNACCACACACAUUUGUCGAGGGAUCUUUAGGUGAAAUGCAUGACCUAUCAGCACAAUAAUUUACACUCUGUGUGGUGCUAGAUAUGCUCGUGUCCAUAGAGGCUAUGACAUUUUCAUCAACAUAUAUUUCUUCACUCACCAUGUCAUUACCUUGUGAGAUUGAAGAUGCUAAGGUGUGCAAGCAAUCGGAUAUGGAAGUAGUGGUGGACUCUUUAUGAUCGAAAAGAGUGAAGAGCUCAUGCACCAACUCCUUCAUCGUAAUAUCGUCUUCAUCAAGAUUGGACCCACCAUAUAAAUCUUCAAGUUUAGUCCAAACUUCAUGAGCUGACUUGCAAGUCGAGAUAGACUUAAACACCUCAAGACUUAUGGUUCGAUGAAUGGCAAGAAAAGCCUCACAAUCAAGAUACAUUUCAUUAGUAGAUGAAGAUGCAUCAUCCUUUUUGUCGGCAAUCCCUACAAGAACAAUUCGUAAAGUAUUUGGGCCCAUGGUUCGAAAGUGAUGAAGCAUACGAAUUCUCCAUAGGGUAUAAUUUGUGCCAUCAAAGUCAAAGGUGUCAUUGUGCACUAAUCCAAUAGUCGACAUCGAUACUCUCUAGGUCGUGAAACCUAAUUAAAGAGAGAUCUUGCUCUGAUACCAAUUGAAAGGACCACGAUGACGCCUAGAGGGGGGGUGAAUAGGCUAUUUAAAAACUUAUUCGGAUUUGGCUUAAACCUAAUGCGGAAAUAAACUAAGAGGAUACUUUUCAAGCACAAAUCCUAAAUGCAAUAGGCACCGCAACGUGUAUCAACAACACGAUCUACCAAGAUGGACACAACACGGUUACUAACAAGCACAAGUAAGUUACACAAACUUACUUGAGCUAUAUCACACGACAAGUAGGUGAACGACACAAGAUACUAGAUCACACGCACACGAUAUAUCAAAAGCUGCAAGUGUGAACGUGUGGAUAUAGAGGGUAUGCUUGAACGACUAAUCUUGUACAAAGAAAUAGCCAACACAAUAUAAUGAGCACAAACAAUAUGCAAUGUAUGUAUGCUCAAGUAACACAAGUAAACCACAAGUAAGGAGUUAGGGUUAAGGAUAACCAAGGUCACUGAGACAAAGAUGUAUCCCGAUGUUCACUUCCUUGGAGGGAAGCUAGUCACCGUUAGAGAGGUGGAUGUUACCACGAAGGUACACCAACGCCACGAAGGCUCACCCUAUUAUCCCUUUGAGAUAACACCACGAAGGCAUUUCUCAACCACUAGUGGUAAGCCUUUGAGGUGGCUUCCAAACCCUCACAAACUUUUCCGGGGGGUAAUCACACGGAUUGAUUCCUCUCCGAAGAACUACUACCGCCUAGGAGUCUCCAACCUCCAAGGGUAACAAGAUCACGGGGAAUGCUCAAAACUUGCUCAAAUCUCAAAUAGCUUGGGUUGAGAGAAGGAGAGGGAGACGAUCUAUCUUUUGAUUGGAACAACUCUCAAAGGGGCUCACAAAUGCUCUUGGGAUCUAAGAUUUGGUGUGAGCAAAUGUGUGUGAGGUAGAAAUGUGUUCUUAUGAGGAUAUGCUGUGUUGGGCACCCUCUCACGAAGUGGGAGGGGGGUAUUUAUAGUGGAGAAGGGAAAGUGACCGUUGGGGUCACUUAAGUCUGACAGUGGUCGGACGUCCGACAGUUCUCGGAUGUCCGGACGCCCACAAGGGGUCGGACGUCCGACAGGGGUCGGUCGUCCGAGGGAUGUACAUAUAUCAGCAACCACUGUGAAGUCGAACAGGGACCGGACGUCCGGAGGAAGCCGGAUGUCCGAGACUUUGGCUCUGUUCAAGGGCACCGGAUUUCCGAAGGAGGUUGGACGUCCGACCCUCGGACGACAGGAGGAGGCCGGAAGUCCAUGUUAUUUGACUCAAAUUUCUCUGGUGCAAGGUUCCGGUUUUCCGAAGUGGUCGGGCGUCCGGUCCUCGGACGUCCGGAGAGAGCCGGAAGUCCGAGUUAUUUGACUCUGGAUUUCUCUGGUAUAAGGUUCCGGAUUUCUGAAGUGGUCGGGAGUCCGUCCCUCGGACGUCCGGAGGAAGCCGGAUGUCCGAGGCAUUGGUUCUGUUUUCAGAUAACAGCAGAGCAGUGGAGAUGUGGUAUGAGCAGAAAAGUAGAGAUGUAGUUUGAGCAAGUUCAUCGCAAAACAUGUGAUCCCCUCUUAAUAGUGCGGGAUCCCUAAAGACUCAAGAAUCAUAAAAGGGUACUGAUGAUCCAUACUUGAGUGUAUACUUUUAUUCGCUGAUCAUCACUCCGCACCACUAACGUCAAAGGAACUGAUACCUUUGAGUUAGCCCUUUCACUUGAGCUUGAUGUUGUUGUUCCUUCUUGGCUCAAGUUGAAAGCAAGACAUGAUGAAGUCUUCAAGUAGCUCUCCCAUACACAAUGUGGAAARCCUAGCUUAUGUAUUCAUCUUCAUUUGUCCACCAUGUGAACAUCCACAAGAAUCAAGCAUGUAGUGCUCAGGAAUGCUUAUCUUGAUCUUGUCCUUGUUAGCACAUGAGCUUGUCCUUAUCAACACAUGAUCAUUAACAAUAGCUUAAAGGGGAUUAGUGAUUUGUGUUGUCAGCAACACCAAAACACGAUUAAGGGCAUGACUGCACUUUCAAUCUCCCCUUUUUUGGUAGUUGAUGACAACAUACAUAUAGCUCUCAAAAAUAGAAUAAACAUGUGUGGCUUAGGAGAGAUUUGUUACGAUGCUUAUGAAGCUCCCCUUGAUUAUAUGCAUAGUAAAAUAGGUAAGUGUGGGAGCUCCCCCUUAAUGCGUGCUUUGAAGAUAAUAGCAUGAUAUAACAUUUCACCAUAAUAGUUCAACAAUACGUAGCAUAUCAUAUGAAUCAAUAAUUCCUAGCAUAUCAUAUGAAUCAAAGCAUAUCAUAUGAAUCAAUAGGAUAUCAUAGAACUCAUCAUCAUAUGACACAACGAUAAUAUCAUGAUAUCUCAUCACCACAUGAUAGUUUAACAAUACAUCAUCCAUAAGUGAUGGCAUAGCAUAUCAUCCAUAAGUAUCGUUACAUGAUGACAUAUCAUUAAGUUCGACAUACUACAUCAUACCAUACAUUAUGAGAGAAACUAAAAUCGAAACUAAGAUAAGAUAAUGUCCUCCCCCCUUUGGCAUCAAGGACCAAAAAGGAAGGAACCCSGGCAAUGCUACCACAUACUCAAAUAUCACCCUCAUCAACAUCAUCAUCAUCAGGCAUCAUCCUCAUCAUCAUCAUCCUCAGGCAAGCCACUACCACUAGCCUCAUCAAGAAAGUCAGCCCACUCAGGACCAGAUGGGAAGCCAAAGUCAGAAGGAGGAGGAGCAGGAAGGUCCUCAUCGUCACUCACAUCAAGAGCGCCCGAGUCUCUCAGACGAGCCUUGAGGGCAUUCUUGGAGGAGACGAGGCGAGAAACCACAUCAUGAGUUUGGCCGCACCGGAAAGAGAAAGCCUUCAUCAUGGCAGAAUGUGCCUUGUCAAUGAAUUUGGCAAAGCGACCAAGAGGAGCUGAGCUGGAUGAAGGGUUGCUGACCGGGCAGCAGUGCGGCGAGUGGAGGUGGAUGAGGUUUUCUUAGGAGCAUAGUCAUCCGCCAUGUGAUUGGGAAUGGCCCACUUGUGAUGCGUGUGAGUGGGAGCAACAGUGAAUUCGGCAACAUGGUGAAUAAAGGCCUGGAUGAAGGGGGCAUGAGGGAAGGCUCGCUAGUAUUGAAGACUAGCGAGUCGAAUCUCAUGCCAGAGAAAGUGAGGCACAUUAAUCUUGCGCUUGGGGGACUCGUGUAAAUGUGACAUGAUAUCAAUACAGUAGCCGCUGUAGGAUCCCCUAUCACCCAUCUUGGGAUAGAUGGUGCGGAUAAGACACUGAAAAUGAUAAAGAAGGGAGAGCGCCAGAUGGAUACUUGGUUAAGAUCCUUCAUCCGUUCGUCUGCAUCAAGUUCACGAAGUGGUUUGAGGAGAAGCCCACACACCUCAAUGGGCUUAUGUGCAUGGUUAGGAUCAUUCUUAUGGAUUUUGAAGCCGGAGUCAGGGAAACCGAGUGCGGCAACAUACUCAUCAUAAGAGGCUGUGAACUCAACAUCAGAAGUCAUCCAGCUAACAGUGUUGUUUGAGCCAAAGAAACACGUGGCAUAAAAUUGAUGAAUAGUGGCACUGUUAAAAUCGCACCGAAAAGUAAAGGGGGGCAGCGAGCCCCGAUGACUCAAUGAGCUCAAUGGCACCCGGGUAUUUCGCCGGGUGAGUGCGAAUAUGCUCAAGAUCAAUAUAAUGAUGGACUGAGAGACCCUUAGGAACGAUGACAGUAGAAAAGAUGUCCACUUGGACGUGUGUGCGGAAACGUGAGUCCAUAGAGUCACGUACAACAGAAAAUUGGUUAACAUCGCGGCGGAAUGUAAAGUAGGAAGACUUAGGAACCGUGGUGAAGUCCUUGACUUCACGACCUAAAGUAGGAGGAGGUUCAAGGGAGAUGCGACGAGCAUCACCUUCGGCUGUUCAGGAGGAGGCGGUGGCAUAUAUGAGGGCCUGCGAGUCCCCGGCUUCGGCAUAGUCUUCCGGACGGCAACGUGUUCAGCACGUUCCUCGUCUACAAGCUCAUCCUCGAAGUCAGAGCCAUCAGACGAGGAGCGGGGAUGUGGAGGAGGACGCCGGGCGAGCCGUUUGAAGGGACAACGUGGUACAUCGGAGUCAUCCGACCCCGUGCCAGGAGGGGCAUGAGCGGAUGAGCCAGCAGAGUUCUUCUGGGCAGUGUGCUUAAUCUUGGGCAUGAUGGAACAAGGCUUGCAGGAUUGGAAACCCAAUGGGGAACGGUCACGGUCAAAACACAUGAACGAACACAUGAACUAGUGAGAAGGGGAACCAAUCACGAGAGAAACCGAGAGGAUACUUGCAGAUCGAGAGAGGAGAGGAAUAGAAGAAGGAUCCCACGAAGGAGAAUAGCCAGAUCGCGGGGCAGGGCCCCCGGUGGCGGUGCGGUCGAGCUCCUCAGGCACUGGCGGCGGCUGGGAGAAAGGGGGGCGCAUGGGGGCUAGGGCAAGGUCCAGCCCGCGCCCCUCUAUUUAUAGAGGCUCCCGAUGUGUCGGACGUCCGACGGCGUCGGACGUCCGGAGAGCAUCAGCCGUCGGACGACCGACAUGUGCCGGACGUCCGGAGUGUGUUUAGCCGUCGGACGUCCGAGACUCGUCGGACGACCGAGGGAGAAGUAGGCAGAGGCAAUUUCUGGGAUUUGGAUGAUGAGGUGAUAAGGAGUAUUCUCGCAUGUGUAGCAACCAAAGGCCUCUCAACAAACAUAUUUUGGACAUGGUAUGAUGUAAAUCUUCUAAUUCGAUUACUAUGAUAAGUGUGGGUCCAAAAUAUGGUCAAACGCAUGGGUGCAUAGAAUCAUGCACAAGUUAUCCUAUUAUAAGAGCAAGGCACAUGACACAAGGGCCAUGGCACAAAUUUGUCUCAUUCAUAUGACCAUGAAGUGCUAAGAGAACACCAACACUAAGCAUUUCAUCAGUGUGAUUCACAAGGACAUGCAGGAAAUUACAAAGUGGAAAAAGUAUUAUGUUCAUGCAAUGAUGCAACCUACACAGGGUUGACUCUAAUGUUAUACAUGCAUGAAGUAAAUACUUGUUACCCGAAAAGCAUUGGUAUGGCGUAGAAGUAGCCGAGUCCUAUUUUGACUCUAAUUUCUUCGUGACCAGCACCAUCUUCUUCUGAGAAUAAGUCAAGAUGGCAAUGCUUCUCCAAAGUACCUAAACCACCAAUUAAGCACAAUAUGGUCCCCAAACUUAUUGGGUCCGAAGUAGUUAGUCCAACUACAAUAUAUAUAGGGUAAGAUCACUCAAUUAUGUGCAUAUAGAUAUAAGUUUUACUUUCAAGCACACCUUAACCUUUUAAUGGAUACGUCUGAUUUACCAUAUACAUAUAUUGGAUCAAAGAUACGAUAGACACGACAUGUGCAUCUACACAUAGUAGAUAUGCCUACACAAGCCUAUCAAAAUCCAAGGAUAUACAAUUUGGACAAAUGAACACAUAAUUGUCAAUUACAGAACAUUCAUGUCGUCCAAAAUGGAUCAGGGUGACAAAUCAACAUAUGACCGCACCCCAAGUUCAACACAUGAACCGGUCAAGGCAUCAAACCAUGUAAGGUAUGCAUUUUGCACAACCUUACAUGCAUGUCUCACCCCAGUAGAUGUAUAAAUGUAGGUAAUAUGAUUAUAACUCCCACAACAUUAUGAAAUAAAUAGUACGAGCUCAAAGACAUGCAUGGGAGAUUACCGGGAGACACGUGAAUUUCUCGGCAAGUUAUGUAGGUCAAAUGAAGAUAAAGCCGAAAUAAAAUGACCAUGAAAAACACUACCAAGCCAGAGAUACCAUGUGUGAGAGAACACAAUGGUAUUUAGAAUUAUCAGCGGUGGUAGAUGCCAAACGAGCACAAAGAUCGUUUUAUACUCACACAAGUGUGAUAUGGGAGUUCAACCAUAAGCAUAAUGUUUAGAUGCCAUACGUUAACAUCCCAAUUAGUUAGAUCAUAGUGUAGAGAAAUAAUUCAAAAGGCAUGCAUCAACUAUGCCCUUCUUUUAGGUACGAUCUAGCGGCUAAGCCAUGAGUAUUGGUGUAGUAGGACGUCAUACUCACGCACAUCUAAGGGAUUUAGACACCAACAGGGUUAUUAUGCGAGUUAAGACAUGUGGAGCAUGACACGCCACACAGUUAUAGAAUAACCCUAUGUGGUAGAUUAUGAGUGGCAUACAUCAGAUGUUUUAUCUUACCACGGGAUGUGACGUGCACAAAGCAUAUCACACGCCCUUAAUGUGAUAAUCCAUGUAUUUAUCAUCCAAGGCAAUCAAUCAUCCAACUAAGCUGAUAAGUGGAUGCCAAUUUGAACUUCGGAUGGCUUUGACAUCAAACGAAUUGAUUGGAUAAUCUUGCACCGUGAAUACUAGAUGGAGUCCAAUACAUGUAUACACAUUUUGGUUUAGUGAUGUGCGUAGAGCAGAACACUCCCCCUUAAUGUGAUGAGCUAUUAACGUCUCGAAAGACCCACACAACGGGGCAACUAGGAUGCAAGUAAUGAUCAGGACUACACACAACUAUAUGACAUACAUAACGACCUACACAUGAUAGAUAACACAUAACAAUCAUACUAGUAGGCGCAACAUGUCAAAGUACAUGCUAGGUACCAAACCUGGACAUGAGAAGGAGUGGGGCAGGCAACUUUUAAUGUAAACAAUUUAAGUACAAGUUACCGCAAAGAGGCACAUUGGAUAUGGGAUAUGGGCUCGAUAAUCCAAAUGUCUUGGCUUGAGAUAAUACGAAUGAUGAAGAGUCCUCAAAUCUUCAUUGUGUAUCCAAGUCUCCAAUGUCCUCCAAAGUCACUUAUUGAUCAAGUUUGAGCUUGUUGGUCCCCAACUACGUUGGGUCCUAAGAGGUUAGUCACAAUAGGCUUGGCAACCCAAAUGGUUCUUUUCUUGACACCAUUUUGAGUACCAACAAACUUGGAAAACACAUUGCCAACCUUAUCCUUCCCAAGGGAAUAGCUAUCAUCAAUAGUGAUUGGGUUGGAUAAGUUACCUCUCGUGCAAGACGAAGCGACAUGACCCUUCUCACGACAUAAGUAGCAACAUCUACCCUUUGCUUUCUUCCCAGUUGAUUUCUCACCUCGGGGAGUGUUGGCUUGGGUCUUAUUGGGAAGAGGCCUUCCUUCAACUUGUAGUUGAGUAUGUGAUUGAGUUUGUGGCCGCUCUCCUUGUUGCUUGUGACUUUGAGACUUCGUCUUCAGAGGGCAAGAUCUAACAUGGUGCCCUUUAACUUUGCACUUGAAGCAAAUGAUUUUGGCUGAAUUCUUAACUUGUUCUAGGCCACUCUUGUUCUUGUUUGAGUUUACUCCAACAUCAUUUUUGUCAUUCGGAGAUGUUUGCUCACACAGGACGUUGCUGGGUGUGGACAUCUCUUCAUGACACUGUUCCAAGUCUUUCUUCAAAGAAGUGACUUGGGCCUUGAGCUCUUCGAUUUCCUCUGCAUGGUUAGUAUCAACGCAAGUACUAGAGGAAGUGUAAGCUUCAAUGUUAGAGCAACAAGGCAAGGAAAGUAAUUCAUCACACGAGGUAGCAACAUUAUGAGUAGAUGAAUUACGAGGACUAGCACAUGGAAAUAUAGUACUUUAACUAGAAGUAGUGCCAUUGUCCACAUGAGGCUCACUUGAUGUUACCUUGGUGAUGAUAGCCUCAUGAGCUAACUUUUGCAUAUUGUGGGAUGUUAGAAGAUUGGCUUGAGAGCUUGUGAGCAUUACAUGGUUUUCUUCCAACUUCCCAUAAUUGCUAGUUAGUAAAUCAAGUUGAGCACGUAGCUCAACAUUCUCCUUCAAUGUUGAUACUUCAAAUGAGGUAGAGUUAGAUGUACAAGUAUCAUCAACAAUAUGAGAGGAGUAAGUAGCAGGUAGAGACUUCUCAUAAGUAGAUUGAAGCUCCUCAUAGAUCUUAGAGGUUUUGAUGAGCUCUCCCUUGACACUAUUGCAUUCAAGGAGAAGGACCUCAAAAUCCUUUUUAAGUUUAUCAUGAGCAACUUCAAUCUAUUCUUUUGAAGAUCUUAAGUCUCUACAUGCUUGAUGACUCUUCUCAAGUUCAUGUUCAAGUUGUUCACUUUUAGCUUGUUCAUGAUUAAGUGAAUCAUUACAAUUUUCAAAGUAAGCAAGAACAUCUUGGAAUUUUUGAAGCGCGUUAUUUUUAGUUGUAUGAAGAAUUUUACUAUUCACAUAGAUAUUUUCAGUCAAGUCAUCAUCAUCAUCCUUAUCGCAAAUAUCAUCGUUAUUGCACAGGGAAGAUGAUACCUCAUUAUUACCUCUUGCCAUGAGGCACAUGUGAACUGGAGGAGUUGAUGAUGAUUCUUUUGGUGAAUCAGAUUCUUCAUUAGUCAAAAGUACUUCAUAUUUCUUUAUUUACCCUAAAUGAUUAGUCAUAGAGCAACUAGGGAGAAACUACAUAUUUUGAUCAACAGGACACGGGAUAGCAGGCAUAUCACCACUGUUGGGGAACGUCGCAUGGGAAACAAAAAAUUUCCUACGCGCACGAAGACCUAUCAUGGUGAAGUCCAUCUACGAGAGGGGAUGUGUGAUCUACGUACCCUUGUAGACCAUACAGCAGAAGCGUUAGUGAACGCGGUUGAUGUAGUGGAACGUCCUCACGUCCCUCGAUCCGCCCCGCAAACCGUCCCGCGAUCAGUCCCACGAUCUAGUGCCGAACGGACGACACCUCCGCGUUCAGCACACGUACAGCUCGACGAUGAUCUCGGCCUUCUUGAUCCAGCAAGAGAGACGGAGAGGUAGAAGAGUUCUCCGGCAGCGUGACGGCGCUCCGGAGGUUGGUGAUGAUCUUGUCUCAGCAGGGCUCCGCCCGAGCUCCGCAGAAACGCGAUCUAGAGGAAAAACCGUGGAGGUAUGUGGUCGGGCUGCCGUGGAAAAGUUGUCUCAAAUCAGCCCUAAAACCUCUGUAUAUAUAGGUGGGAGAGGGGGAGCCUUGCCUUGGAGCUCAAGGUGCCCCAAGGGGGUCGGCCGAGCCAAGGGGGGAAGGUCUCCCCCCCCCCCAAACCGAGUCCUACUUGGUUUGGUCGGUGGAGUCCUUCUUUCCUUUCCCACCUCCUCUUUUUUUCUUUUCUCUUUGAUUUUCUUCCUAUGGCGCGUAGGGCCUUCUUGGGCUGUCCCACCAGCCCACUAAGGGCUGGUGUGCCACCCCAAGGCCUAUGGGAUUCCCCGGGGUGGGUUGCCCCCCCCCGGUGAACUCCCGGAACCCAUUCGUCAUUCCCGGUACAUUCCCGGUAACUCCGAAAACCUUCCGGUAAUCAAAUGAGGUCAUCCUAUAUAUCAAUCUCCGUUUCCGGACCAUUACGGAAACCCUCGUGACGUCCGUGAUCUCAUCCGGGACUCCGAACAACAUUCGGUAACCAACCAUAUAACUCAAAUACGCAUAAAACAACGUCGAACCUUAAGUGUGCAGACCCUGCGGGUUCGAGAACUAUGUAGACAUGACCCGAGAGACUCCUCUGUCAAUAUCCAAUAGCGGGACCUGGAUGCCCAUAUUGGAUCCUACAUAUUCUACGAAGAUCUUAUCGUUUGAACCUCAGUGCCAAGGAUUCAUAUAAUCCCGUAUGUCAUUCCCUUUGUCCUUCGGUAUGUUACUUGCCCGAGAUUCGAUCGUCAGUAUCCGCAUACCUAUUUCAAUCUCGUUUACCGGCAAGUCUCUUUACUCGUUCCGUAAUACAAGAUCCCACAACUUACACUAAGUCACAUUGCUUGCAAGGCUUGUGUGUGAUGGUGUAUUACCGAGUGGGCCCCGAGAUACCUCUCCGUCACACGGAGUGACAAAUCCCAGUCUUGAUCCAUACUAACUCAACGAACACCUUUGGAGAUACCUGUAGAGCAUCUUUAUAGUCACCCAGUUACAUUGCAACGUUUGAUACACACAAAGUAUUCCUCCGGUGUUAGUGAGUUAUAUGAUCUCAUGGUCAUAGGAACAGAUACUUGACACGCAUAAAAACAAUAGCAACAAAAUGACACGAUCAACAUGCUACGUCUAUUAGUUUGGGUCUAGUCCAUCACGUGAUUCUCCUAAUGACGUGAUCCAGUUAUCAAGCAACAACACCUUGUUCAUAAUCAGAAGACACUAACUAUCUUUGAUCAACUGGCUAGCCAACUGGAGGCUUGCUAGGGAUAGUGUUUUGUCUAUGUAUCCACACAUGUAAAUGAGUCUUCAUUCAAUACAAUUAUAGCAUGGAUAAUAAACGAUUAUCUUGAUACAGGAAUUGUAAUAAUAACUAUAUUUAUUAUUGCCUCUAGGGCAUAAUUCCAACAGUCUCCCACUUGCACUAGAGUCAAUAAUCUAGCCCUCACAUCAUCAUGCGAAUUACAUUGUAAUAAAUCUAACACCCAUACAGUUCUGGUGUUGAUCAUGCUUUGGCCGUGGAAGAGGUUUAGUCAGCAGGUCUGCUACAUUCAGAUCCGUGUGCACUUUGCAUAUAUUUACGUCCUCUCCU